rnacentral:lncRNA from 1 species
CAGGGAUGCGAUCUACGAAUCCUGCAUUUCGACAUCAAACCCCAUAAUGUUUUGCUAGACCAAAACUUCACUCCAAAAAUUUCUGAUUUUGGUAUGGCCAAGUUAUGUUCCAAGGAUCAAAGCUUGGUGUCCAUGACUACAGCUAGGGGGACCAUGGGCUACAUUGCACCUGAAGUGUUUUCCAGGAAUUUCGGAAAUGUGUCUUACAAGGCAGAUGUCUAUAGCUUUGGAAUGCUGCUGCUUGAGAUGGUAGGAGGAAGGAAGAAUAUUGGUUCAAUCACGGAUAACACUACAAAUGAAAUUUACUAUCCACAGUGGAUUUAUAAUCUUCUAGAGGAAGGGGAUGACCUACAAAUCCACAUUGGGGAAGAAGGAGAUGGUAAAAUUCCAAAGAAACUUGCAAUUAUAGGGCUAUGGUGUAUCCAGUGGCACCCGUCGGAUCGUCCUUCCAUGAAAAUAGCGGUUCAGAUGUUAGAAGGAGGAGGAGAAAGCUUGAGUAUGCCGCCUAAUCCCUUUGUGCCUACUGGUCCUACAACUAGAAAUGCAAGACGCCUAGAGCUAGAAGCUAUUGCUGAAUUAGAGUAAAAUGUAUAUGCAGAUAUGUAGACGUAUAGAUAUAGUAAUAUUUACAUUGAAUAAGAGGCCGUUUGAUAACCAUUUCGUUUUCAGCUUUUAAUUUUUAUUUUGCACUUUUUUGAAAACUGAAAACUAAAAUCUUGUUUGGUAAAUACUUUUAGUUUAAGAAAAAAUGAAGACUGAGAACUAAAAAGUGAAAGCUCAAAGGAAGUAGAUUAAAAGUAGUUACCAAACAAACCGGAAUCUCAAUAAUAAAAAAUGAUUGAAUUGCACAACGCAAUCCAAACCAAUCAAAACAUUAAAAUAGCAAAAAAAAUUAAAAUUCUAGUUGAUUAGAUUAUGAACAUAGUAAAAAUGAACAGAUCCGAUGAAAAAACAAAAAAAAUUCUCAGAUAAAAAUAGGGAUAAAGUAAAAUAUUUAUAAAUAGCUCCUUGUCUCUUAUGUCAUCAAUUAUUUCUAUAGUAUAUACAAGUUUUUGGAAAAAUUAGGUUCCCAUCCCUUAUUUUCAUAUUACAUUGAUUGAAAUCUUAUUAUUUUUCUAUUUUAGAUCAAGGUCCCUUGACUUAUUCCAUGUCAUCAUUUUAGUAUUUAAAAUAUUACACGUCAUCAUAAACGAAAUCUCAUCCCCUUUCUGCAUUUAAGGCAAAAUAAACUAUAUGAGUAAGUUUAAAACAAGGAAAAUCCAUUUGAACUCCUCCAUUCUUCUUCUUCCCUUAUGCACAUCUGGAAUCUACAACACCCCAAACCCAAUUUUCUCCAUUUUUUCUCCAUUCCUGAAUUGAUCCAAUGCAUAUAUGUUGAAUAAACCUAUUGUGAUUAAAAUACAAAUUAGCAUCAAUGGUUUUAUCGGCUUGUGAGAUUUGUGUGGCAUAGGCAAGGCAAUGCAUGCAUCGCUUUCUCAAGGAAUCUGGUUGAUUCAAACAUGCAGAGACUGUAGAGUGAGCGGGCUAUGUAAAAACUGUACCAUUCUGAAGUCAUUUUCUUUUGUUCUUUAUAUUUUUUUUCUUUUUCUUUUAUUAUUAUAUAUUAGUCUUGAUUAUUCAAUGUCUGGUUGGCUACACUUAUGUCCAUGGGUACAUUUUUAAUCAACAUGGUUCGUUCUAAUAUAUCUAUUGCUAUAAUAUGUUUUGGUUGGUUCAAAUUUGUUUUACAUAAAUAUAUGGGUACAAAGUUUUUGGAGAAUAUUAUGUAAAAUGGUUUUUAAGGUUGCUGCAUUUUAUGUACCCACAUAUGCAUGUCUAUAAAUGACACACCCCGUCCCGAAGGAGGGCAUGCUGGCCGUCACGUGAGAGUGACGUAACCAUUUGCACAGUACGGAAGCUUUAAGAUACAAUUUAUAAGUUGAUACACCCGAAUGUGAGUCCUAAUUUUGUCCAAUCUGUCAGAACACCGUCAAAUUCCUCGUAGUCACCACACCUUUGUGAUUCCUGAACCUGGAGGGGCGCAAAACCAAAAUUGAGUGGGUCAGUAAAACAAUUCUUUUCCAAAUCCAAACAUUUCUCAAAACGUUGUAACCCCAAUCCGUAAAACUUGUAUAUUUUCCCAGAAAUGUAAAAUAUAAAUAUACAUAUAUAUUCUCAAUACUUCAAUUCAUUAACUCAACAUUUUUCAGUACAAUUAUGCCAUGCCAUGUCUAAUUCAACAGUUAAGUAUGGAUGCAUCAACAAUAAUCAUAUCAGGUGCAAGAAAGUAAUCAACCGGAGGCCCUCUAAUAGCCAUGUACGGUUGAACCUAGAGCUCAAAAUCUAUCACUCUCACUCUACCGGAGUCACCUCUGUGACCUGUCCGGCCUUCUGCACACAAGUUACGCUCUAGUGCUUUCUCAUCAAUCAUCUGUGCACAUAAUCUAAGGUCACCCACCAGUCGAAAUCUCACUAACACUCUUCGACUGGCCCGUCGCACCCACUCCGCGUGGACUGUGCGACCAGCAUCUACUUGGAUCCAAGGCGAGCGUGCGAUGCGGUGAAUACUAUAAGCACUAAACCAUGGUGCAGGAUUUGAGCUCAAUAUACAUCAACAUCAUCAUAAUAGUAAUUAAAUACUCACCUGAUACUCACCUGUGCGUCCGCCGCACCAAUUCAUAUAUAUGCAUCAUAUAUCAAUUCAUAUCAUUUCAUACAUGGCAAUUCAAUUCACGUUUUUCAUAUAGUUCUAUAUACUUUUCACAUAUUUCUAUUUAAAGCAUAAUUUCAUGCUUUUUCAAUUUCUGGGAAAACGGCAAGUAUAUAUAUAUACGGAAAACAAAACUGCCCACUCACCUGGAGUUCGCCCUACAACUCCCUAGCACAAUACGCCAAGGCGUCAUGACGAUCGGCGCCUAAAACAAUAAUCAAUUCCAACCUUAGAAUUCAUAUCGAUAGAAUAUAUAACUUAUAUAAAAUACGUCACUGCGUAGUUCGAUCCGGAAGAUCCACCACUCAGAUUUUAAAUCCAUAACUUCCAGAGGUCCACAAUAUAUCUCUAGGAUAACAUCCUAAAAUUUCAUUACCAUCCAACGGUCGGAUCUCCGUCAAUUUCCAAAACUAAGUGACGGUUAACAUUUUAUUUUAUGAACUUACAACUCCAAUUCCUGAAGAUCCGUAAAUCGGAUUCCCAAUCCGAAAGUUCCAAUAAUCCUCAAAUAUUACGUAUUACUACGUAUCAAAGUUUAGUGACGAUCUAACGGUCGGAUCGUCAAUUCACGUUUUCACCUAAAUGUGAAAACUAUAAAACGUUAUUCGAACAUCUAACCAACAAUCCUUAAUAACUUUCUCAUACGGUGCUCAAUUUGGGUAUAUGAAUAUACCACGGUGAUCUACUCGACGUCACGGACGUCGACAUAUUUUUAAAAUAAUUUUAUUUUAUUUUAUUUUUUUUACUGUAGCACCUUCUUCUUCCUUGGGUCGCCGGACUGGUUUUUCCAGCGGCCGUUUUCUGGGCAGUUUUUCAAAUUGCCAUAACUUUGUCAUUUCUCAACGAAAUCAAGUGAUUCAAAAACGAAAGUUGUAGCCCUUGAAGAGACAAAGAGAAUGGUACCUUACAAAACACCUAGUUCUCCGUGGUUUGGCCGGAAACUGCCUCGAAAGCCUCGGAGGUCGCCGGAAACUGGGUAUUUUUCAAAUGAGUAUAACUUCUUCAAUACUCAACGAAAUUGAGUGAAACAAAAAGGAAAGUUGUAGUAAUUGACGAGAUGAAGAGAUUGAUACCUACCUCGACUCCUAACUCGCCGGGGAUUCGCCGGAAAAAGCCUCGAAAGCUCCGGCCAAACUUUGAACUUGUCGAUCUCCGUGUUCUUACGUCCAAAAACUUCCAACGAAGCACUCCGAGCUUCCUUGGGACCUCACUAAGCUCACUAUGAGCUUGGAUUGUCCUAAAACAAAGUCAAUUCGAAAAUCAUGAACAGUGCACUUUCACGGGGAGUUUAGAAUCUAGGUUUUCCGAAGUAAAACUUACCUGAAAUUGGUGUCUACGUGAUCGUGGAGUCUCCAGGAGUUCGAUGGUGGUCUUAACUCCGUCGUUGGUGGAAGUUUAAGGUUGUUUUGCGGUUGGUUUGUUCGAACGGAGAAGAAGAGUGACAGAGAGAGAGAGAUUCGUGAGGGAGGAGAGAGAGAGACAGUAUGCAGAAAAUAGGGAGAGGAUUGAGGGGUGUGGGGAUCCCAUGUGGUCCUUUUCCAAUCCCCAACUCCAAACCACAAAAUUUUAACCUAAAAAUCUAAGUUCCAUCCUUAAUAAAUUCCAUUUUAUUUUCAAAACUUAGGAACCUAGAUAAUUAUCAACUUGAGCUUCACAUACUUAGUAUUUCUUAAGGGCAAUUUCGUCCAUUCACAGCCACGAAUGUAAUAUUUUUGGAACGGGCUGUGACAAUCUUCCCUCCUUAUAGAAUUUCGUCCCCGAAAUUCCAGCAACCAACUAAAUCAACCAUACUUCAACAAUAGCUUCGGGUAAAUCUCUCUCAUCCGAUUCUCUUUCUCCCACAUAAUUUUCUACUGAAUGAUUUCCUUCACAAAGCUUUUACCACUUACUCUGUCUUAAUUCUCAAGACUUUCUUUUUCCAAUCUAAAGUCGUCCUUGGUUCCUUAUCAAGUCGAAUCCAAUUUAAUUCUCAAUAGUUGCACCAGAAUCUCAUGUGACGAAUCUGCCACCUAGUGACAACGUAUCGAACCCAAAAUACAUUAAGUAUCUUAGCCAACUCUGAAGACAUCACCACAUGUAUGCAACUUUAUUGAUUCCUUUAGUGAUCAAAACGGACUGAUGUGUUCAAGACUUAUCUUGUCUUCCUUUCUGAAUCUUACUAUUUCUGUUCAUGGUGAAAUUUCCAAAAAUAUCAAACCAUUUACCUUACACACUCGAUUAGUGGCAUAUCCAUCUGUUAGUCUCUUUUGCCAUUCCUGGUUACUUCAGGUUAACUUAAUCACCUGAAUACUUUGAGGAGACUCAUCCAAAAUUUCGGGUCCACCAAAAUUCUUUUGUGAUCGAAUCUUUCUCUACCCAGAAGCAUUCCAUCCACAAUUCAGCAAAAAUCGACACACAUGACACGCUUCAUGGACAUUAUGGCGUUACUUUGAAAACUGGCGAAACCAACAUACUUAAGAAACUCAGCAGUCCCGUAACCCAAUUCUCUUUUCCAUAAAACAAAUAAGUACUGUUGCACUGUCUGGGAAAGGUUGUUACUCAACACUGGAGUAAAUAUACUAACUUGUUACGUUGCCCAACCAUCACUUCACAUUCAAUCGUAACCAUCUUGUAUACAAGGAAACUUGUACACAUAGUCCAAAGUAAUAUCUUUCCAUUUCUGUUUAGAAACAGAAAAUAGCUGUCUCAAUCCAAAGGUUUAUCUCUUUCCGCCUCAAUCUGCUGAUCAAAUAAACUGUCGAGUGGUAUGAUAAAUCUUAUUACUUUUGGAAUAUUGCAGAAGUUGAACAGUGAACUUUGUCCAAUAUUUGCUUGCUUCAAAUCCUCAGCAUUAGGCACAUACUUUUGGUUUUCUUGUAUCCACAUACCAUUUGAUUCACGAAUCAUGUAUUCAUUCUUUUUCCCUUCUUUCUCUACCUUGGUUAAUUCUUAAAUUUCCUCGUCAAACAUUUAAGUUUCGAGUACGACCUUACCAAACAGGCCUAACUUGAAAUUUAACAAGUAUAACUUCUUCUCGAUCUUUCAUUCUUAACUUUACUUUAGUUGGUUUCCAAUCCACAAGAAGAUAAUCAUGGCAAGCGUACCAGAUAUUAAUUAUUACUGCAGUCUUCUUAUCAAGUGCUUCAGUUACAACAAUUCACAAUCACCCUGAUCGUACAAUCAUAAUCACUAAGUAAUUCAAUCCACCUUUGUUGCCUCAUAUCACAAUCCUUCCAAGUAAACAAAUAUUGGAGACUCUUUUGAUUUGUAAAAUCUUGUAUUCUUAUCAACAUAUAAUGUCUCCAUAACUUCACAGCAAGGAUGAUAAUCGUGACUUCCAAAUCACCAGUAGGGUAAUUCAUCUUAUGAGGUUCCAUUUAUCGUGAAACGUAUGCAAUCACCCUAACAUUUGCAUCAACAUGCCUCCAAUACCAUUCAAGAAACAUCACUAAAAAUUUAUGAUUACCACUAUUCUCUGGGAAUACCAAAAUACGUGCAUGAGUGAGGAAAUACUUCAGUUGUUGAAUCCUUUGCUCACAAUUUCCUUCCCACUCAUACAUAACCUCUUUUCUCAACAGUCUCGUCAAUGACAAAGCAAUGACUAAAAACUCUUUCACAACCAUCCAAGAUAGUCUGGUAAGUUAAGAAUUUCCGAAUCUCAAUUAUGGCUUGUGGUUGUUCCAAUUUCUCAAUUCUGCUGCCUUUUAAGAAUUCAUUUGAAUACCUUAAGCAGAUAUAACCAAUCUCAUAAUGCCACUUGAUUCAUCCAACAUUCGCAUUUGCUAAACUUAGCAUACAACCAACGUUCUUUCAAUCUUUGCUUCAUCGACUUAAUACGUUUACAUGCUCUGCUCUGGCUCAGAAUGUACCAGAAUAUCGUCAAUGAAAAUGAUAUCAAUUAUCAAGGCAUUAUUGGAAUACUUCAUCCAUCAACUCAUAAAACCGCAUGAGUAUCCACAUAGCAUCACCAAACCUCAUAAGGACCAUAACAAGUCCAGAAAACCAUCUUAUGAUCAACGUCAUUCAUAAUCUUUAAUUGGUAAUAACCAGACUUCAAGUCAAUCUUUGAAAAUAUACAAGCACCUUUGAACUGAUCAAAUGAGCGUCAAUACACCACAAUGGAUAACGGUUCUCAUUCGUUACCCGACUCCAUUGUCUAUAAUCAAUGAACAGUCUCAAGAUCCAUUUUCUUCCUCACCAACAAACUGGGGCUCCUCAAAAGUGUUGUACUAGGUUGAAUAAAACUUUUAUCAACCAAUUCUUUCAACUAAAUUUCCAAUUCCCUUAACUCAUCAUGAACCAAUCUCCAAUAUAAAUUUAUACCUGGCAACAAAUCAAUAAUGAACCUCAUAUCUCUGCCUGAAGACAAUCCAGGUAUACUUUCAGGGGAGACAUCAAGAAAAGUCUAACCCUUUUGACAUUAUUCACACUACUCCAAACAACAUCAUUUAGCACCCCAUGAGCUAAGUAUUUUUAACAGCCUUUCGAAAACAAUCUCUUUGCUCUCACAGCAUUAAUAACGGCCUGACUCAAUCCACCUUGCAUACUUACAAAAGUAAUCUCUGGUCAUCCAGAUCGAUGGAAAGUACUGGUUUCCCGUAACAUUCCGUCUUGUCACAAUUAUAACCAACCGAUCUAAUGGAACAGAAUUAACUGAUACAAUAUAUAUUCUAUUAUUAUUAAGCAUUCUAAAUAAGUACAAUACUAACAUAAAAUAAUCUACCGGGUUGCUUGCUUAACGAAUCCACGAAUGAGUUAUUAAUAUUACGGUCUGCAGCCCGCAAUACUGAUAAAUCAUCGUUGUCUCGAUAAGUAGGCAACCACUCUCAAAGAUAUAACAUUACUAUUUUGUCACUCAAUGCAAAAUACAUACACUUGUCUCAACUACAUUUAUUUACUACUCUCUAGGUAAUAACAUACAUAAUAAGAAAUAUAUCAGUCGAAGUCAACUAGAAUGACCAAUACGGCUGAUUCAACUCUUAUCUCAAUAAUACGUCGGCCGGAUCCACUCCGCGUGGUCGGUACGGCCGAGCCUAUAACUCAUCCAACCUCUCUGUACUCACGGUCAAUCCGACCAAACUACUAAGUCCAUAACUCUGCUGAAUCGACACUAUGAUAUCAUGGAAAAUUAUUGAGUACAACUGAUUCUAGGGACGAUUCACAAUUCUGUGUCCCCUCUGUUCACAUAAACACAUUCAUUAAUUUCACACUUCCCAAAGUGUUAAUUUUGUACCUGCUGCACAAGGUACAUUUCCUUUACUCGAGACACCUUGUCUCAAAUAUCUGGGAUUACCAGUAUAUCCAUCACUUUUACUCUGACCAGCAACAUUAAAACCUCAGCUGGAAGAAUUAACUCUAGCUUCACUUCUUUCGAAGCUCUGAAUCUUUCUAUAUCUUUGAUAUGACGAAUCAUUAACUUUAUCGUCUUCUUUUAAUUCCCAUUCAUUUCUUAUUCUUCUUUAUUCUCGUUGCUCAUGUUCUCAGAGUCCUCAAGACUCAACAGCAUCUCGUAUAUUCCUGGUAAGAAGUACAAUGGAUAGUGGUCACCCAAAAUACCACUUCCCUUUUGCCACCCAGCUUAAAACAACAUAACACCUCCACCAAAUUAGCAGCAAUAUCCGAAUGGAAACGAGGCUAGUCUGAAAACUUUCUAUAAUAUUCAUUUAUCGUCAACUUCCUUGAUUCACAUUUGCAAAAUCUUGCUUACUACCAACGAUAAAUGCCGGAGGGAUAAACUUUUCCUUAAAUAAGUCCUUAAACAAUUUUAAAUCGGCUACUUCCUCUGAUGACAACAAUCAAUACUCCUGCUUCCAUCAGGAUACACGUUCAUAACUCAAACCAGGUAGUCGUCUCGACCCACCUGUCAGAAGGAAAUUUCCUUUGACUUGCAUAAUCUGAAACAUCUUUUCCAAUUGGUUAAUCCGUUACUUCGCUCCCUCAGGUUCAUCAUUCCAUAAGGUGAUUCAAAUUCGACUCAUAACCUGUCUUAAAAUGUCCCUUUUUAUAAUAGACUGAAUCACCAUAAUAAUAGUUUCCCCUAAACCGCUAUAUUAGGGAGACUAAAUUCCUCUAACUAAGUGGCUUGCUACGAGGCGGUGUAGUUCUGACAGAAUUCACUAGAACUUCUCAAAAUGUCCAAGAUUGCAACCAUGCUCUGAUACCAACUGACACACCCCGUCCCGAAGGAGGGCAUGCUGGCCGUCACGUGAGAGUGACGUAACCAUUUGCACAGUACGGAAGCUUUAAGAUACAAUUUAUAAGUUGAUACACCCGAAGGUGAGUCCUAAUUUUGUCCAAUCUGUCAGAACACCGUCAAAUUCCUCGUAGUCACCACACCUUUGUGAUUCCUGAACCUGGAGGGGCGCAAAACCAAAAUUGAGUGGGUCAGUAAAACAAUUCUUUUCCAAAUCCAAACAUUUCUCAAAACGUUGUAACAAUAAAAACCAGUCCGGCGACCCAAGGAAGAAGAAGGUGCUACAGUAAAAAAAAUAAAAUAAAAUAAAAUUAUUUUAAAAAUAUGUCGACGUCCGCGACGUCGAGUAGAUCACCGUGGUAUAUUCAUAUACCCAAAUUGAGCACCGUAUGAGAAAGUUAUUAAGGAUUGUUGGUUAGGUGUUCGAAUAACGUUUUAUAGUUUUCACAUUUAGGUGAAAAUGUGAAUUGACGAUCCGACCGUUAGAUCGUCACUAAACUUUGAUACGUAGUAAUACGUAAUAUUUGAGGAUUAUUGGAACUUUCGGAUUGGGAAUCCGAUUUACGGAUCUUCCGGAAUUGGAGUUGUAAGUCCAUAAAAUAAAAUGUUAACCGUCACUUAGUUUUGGAAAUUGACGGAGAUCCGACCGUUGGAUGGUAAUGAAAUUUUAGGAUGUUAUCCUAGAGAUAUAUUGUGGACCUCUGGAAGUUAUGGAUUUAAAAUCUGAGUGGUGGAUCUUCCGGAUCGAACUACGCAGUGACGUAUUUUAUAUAAGUUAUAUAUUUCUAUCGAUAUGAAUUCUAAGGUUGGAAUUGAUUAUUGUUUUAGGCGCCGAUCGUCAUGACGCCUUGGCGUAUUGUGCUAGGGAGUUGUAGGGCGAACUCCAGGUGAGUGGGCAGUUUUGUUUUCCGUAUAUAUAUAUACUUGCCGUUUUCCCAGAAAUUGAAAAAGCAUGAAAUUAUGCUUUAAAUAGAAAUAUAUGUGAAAAGUAUAUAGAACUAUAUGAAAAACGUGAAUUGAAUUGCCAUGUAUGAAAUGAUAUGAAUUGAUAUAUGAUGCAUAUAUAUGAAUUGGUGCGGCGGACGCACAGGUGAGUAUCAGGUGAGUAUUUAAUUACUAUUAUGAUGAUGUUGAUGUAUAUUGAGCUCAAAUCCUGCACCAUGGUUUAGUGCUUAUAGUAUUCACCGCAUCGCACGCUCGCCUUGGAUCCAAGUAGAUGCUGGUCGCACAGUCCACGCGGAGUGGGUGCGACGGGCCAGUCGAAGAGUGUUAGUGAGAUUUCGACUGGUGGGUGACCUUAGAUUAUGUGCACAGAUGAUUGAUGAGAAAGCACUAGAGCGUAACUUGUGUGCAGAAGGCCGGACAGGUCACAGAGGUGACUCCGGUACUAUUUUGACCAUUCUAUUUAACUUGUGUUUCAUUUAUUUUAACCAUUCUAUUUAAAGUUUAUCCCAAGUAAUCUAAUUAAGACUAGAGUCGAAAGUGAUGCAUUUAGUAAUUGCUUACACUUGUGAAUAUGAGUUGAUUGAGGUGGUGGUGGUUUCUUGUAUUAAUAAUUCUAUUUAAACUCAUACCCUCCCACACCAUCAGAUCCAAGUACUAUUUUGAUAAACUUUAAAUAGAAUGGUUAAAAUAAAUGAAACACUUUUAGAAAAUAAGUGAAGAUGUUGUUUACAAAUAUAGAUGCAUUUGUAUAUAAAAGCUUUGGCGGUUGAUCCGUAUACACUUCCAGAGAUAUAAGCAAGUUCAUUGGAUUAUACAUACAUAGUUAAUGUAUUACAGUAUAAUUAAUAAGAAAACAAUUGCAUCCCUUUCAGAUUAUAUAUAUAUAUAUAUAUAUAGACACACACACGCACACAUACAUACACACAGGCCCUUUAUGCAAAGGAAUUUUCAAUUUUUUUUUUAAAUGGGGAUUAGUUGUGGGGCCCACGCUGCAUUGAACUUUAACGAUCCGAACAGUCUAUUUUGUAAUUCUCGAUUCAUAGAUCAUCCUUGUAAAAAUUCAAUUCAAUCCGAACCUAUUUGCCUAUUUAAUUAUCAAGAUAAAAUUUUAUUGUUUCUUAUAUAACAAAGUAUUCGUUAAUUUCUUUGAACUCAAUUAGAUAUCUUAAACAUUUCCGAUUUGGUUAAUAUUGUGUAAGGAUGAUCUAUGUGGUGCAACUUGAAAAAUAGACGAUUACGAUCGUUAAAGUUCGAUGUGGUGAGAACCCUACAAUUAAUCUUCAUUUUUAUAAAAGAAUGGGAACCCCUUCCCUUAAAGGUUUCCUAUGUAUAUAUUUGUUCUCCAGACAUAUGCAAAAGGUAAUGUAAAACCAAUGAGAACUUAAAUAGAUAUUCCAUACAUAGGACAAUUCCAUAUAUGCUUUUUCAACAUUGAUAUCGAAAAGCCAAAUUGUUUUGAGGAAAUUAAUUGUAGCAAUGAUCCCUUAACUUUUAUCUUAUUGGAGCAAUGGUCUCUCAACUAAAAAUUCAUGACCAUUGGUUCCUUAACUCCACACAACGUGUAGUUAUGGUCAUUUUCAUUAACCCCGUCAGAACUUUUGUUAAAACAAGUAAUGUUAGAAGAAUCAUUGCUACAAUUAGGUUAAAGUUGGGGACCAUUGCUCUAAUUAAAUUAAAAUUGAGGGAUCAUUUCUCCAAAUUGCUUAAAGUUCAAUGACCAUUUCUACAAUUUUCUCAUCUAGUUUCCCAUAUUUACCCCAUGAUUCAGCUUCACAUGCAUUGCACAUGACUCAUUUUGACAAAAAUUUUAACGAAAUUGACGAAAAUGACCAUAAAUACACGUUUUGAAUAGUUAAGAGACCAAUGGUCGUGGAUUUUAGUUGAGGGAUCAUUGCUCCAAUUUGGUUAAAGUUGAGGGACCAUUGCUACUUUUUUCUCAAAUGUUUCGUAUGCGAAAAUAGGCAUUUGUAAAGUUUGGCUUGUUCAUGGCAUUAUUACUUUAGUCUAAAGUAAGGCUGGAAAUGGCACUGUAGAAAUGAAUAGUGUUCCAAUCUGAAUUUCAGUUUAAUUACAACAAUGCCAUUGCUCUUUGUGUUGCCUUUAGGUGAGCAGCCCAGCUUGCAGCCAGGCCCAAAUGUAUUGGUUUUAGCUGAGAAGCUCGGCCCUUGGUCAUGCCCAAAAUUUUAAAUUACAGUUUUGCCCAUACAAAAUAACAAUCCGAUUGUAUCGGGAAGGACAAUUUUGUCCUUUCAGUUUUGGGUGAGAUAGGGGGUAACAGGGUAAGUUUCAUUUGCUGUCGUUGAAUGAGGGUUUCGGGGAUGAGGGCUCUGUGUGUGUGUGGGUGAGAGAGAGAGAGAGAGAGAUGGCGAUGGAAGGAGAGUGAGGGGGAAGGGAAGGGUUCUCGGCACUAUUGUUGCAUGUGGAUUUCACAAGUGGGAGAGUGGGUAUGGUCAGAGAAGACCAUAUAGGUCGUUGGGAUUUCAGGGAAACGGGGUAGGGGUCAUGAAUGAACCCUGCUGAGAGUGGGUACCGGAUCUUGCGCUGCAUGCCUCAAAUCAAAGAUAAGUUCGUUUUUUUUAUUGUAUUUUUAUGGUAGCUUAGCUUUUGGAAUUGUUUAGUAUGUUAGGUCCGAUUUUGGGGGAUUUAUCUUUUUAGAGAGAGAGAUAGACAGGGAGAUAGAGAGAGAGGGAGAGGGAGAGAGAGAGAGAGAGAGAGGAGGAAGCAUGACUGUGUGCAAUUUUUGGUGUUAAUUAAUGGGUUGGUGCGCAGGGUGAGUGACAGAGUGACAGAGUGAAGGAGGGACGUGUGGGAGGGUAUGAGUUUUCAGUUCUUUCUUUUGAUUCAACAGGUUAUACACUGUUUGAAAAACUUUUUUUUUAUUAUUUUGUUCUCGUUUGCUUUGUUCAAACCAUCAUUUGAAUUUUUGGGUUUCACUGUGCUCAUUUCUCUGCUUCUUCAUAAUUUGCUGGUGUUUGCUUCUCAUCCCUCUGUUGGUAGAUCUUUUUCUCAUUUCUUGGUUCCUUAUGUAUUCUUUUGUACAAAUCUGUUUACUUUUUUGCUGUGUGAUAAUCUUAGCAGGUGAACUAUAUGAACGUUUUUUUUGAAACGAGUUAAGAAGAUCCAGCUGAAAAUAGCAUACAAGAUAGAGAACUGGUAUGCUGCUCGCCAGGGAAAGGCUGCUGGAGAGGCCGAGACAGAUGCCUCCUUCAGAAACCAGGUCAGUUUCCUGCUGCUCGGCGUCUUAAUGUAUCCAAAUUGUUUAUCUUUUGAUGAAAUUAGCUGGCUUUAUUUUCUAUUUUAUUUAUCUGCAUAUUAUUUUGGUUUGUUGAAAUUUUGACUAUAGUCAUUGUCACAUGGGCGCCCAGCCCAACCCAAAUUAGUUGAGGAUAUUUAAAUCUUCACCAUGGUAUUAUAGUACUCACUCACAGUUGUGAAUACUAAGGUGCAGGCAUGGCAUGAAGAAGUGGACCGUGCACGCCAAUGUCAGAGGGAUGCAGAGGGCAAGCUUUUUUCUUUGGAGGUAAGUAUCCUUUGUUUAUUGCCCAACAGUGUUGUUAUUAUCAAUUUGUAGCUUUGCGUUCUGAAUUUUUUGCUUUGUCAAACAACCUUCUUGAAAUGCUCGAUUUCAAGCCGAAGUCCAAAAAAUGAGAGUUGAGAUGGCUUCCAUGAAAAGGGAUGUAGAGCAUUACUCGCGCCAAGUGAAAUCUGCUUCCUCUCUUUUCGUAUAUCUUCAUAUGAAGAGUUUUACUAAGUUAUAUUGAGAACUAUGUUAUUUAUAGGUUAUAUUUUCCAUUUUGCAGGAACACAUGGAGCUAAGGAAGAGCUAUCGUGAACUCACUGAUCUACUGGUAAUGUCACUCAAACUGCUUUAUUUGUGCAUGCUGCUACUAUGCGCUUGAAUGCAUUUUAUUACUGGCGGGAUGCAAGAAAGCUAGAUAUAUGUGCUGGAUCGCUUGAUUAGUGUUAGGGUUUUAACAACUAAUUGUUAGCAGCUAGAAGCUCUGGUUAGAUGAAUGCUAAUUUGAUUUUCCUUACAGUACUUGAGUGCCAGUUUCAUAUUGUUUGUUCCCUGCUGGAUACCUGUUGUACAGUUUCAUUUCUGUUUCUUUAUAACUUUCUUGGCCCUGGGAUAUAUGCAUAUUGAGUACAAUGAAUAUCCAUUGUUCUCUAACUGUUGGGCUUUACUAUCUUUGUAGCAGCCUGCCUAACAUUUUUUAGGCUCUACACUCUACCAUCCAAUUUAUGAAAAAUUCAAAGAUUGAACGGUAUUGAUUGCAGAAAUGAAAAAAAUACUAUGAUAUUAGAAAGGUGAAUGUAAUUGUGUUAGAAGAAGCGUCUAGCAUGAUGGGUAAUAUUUUAAGUUUGUAUUUCUAAAAUUUUUUCGUUCUGGAGUAUGAUUUACCUCAAUUGUUUUGUACUUUAAUCUUUACUAAUUUUCAUUGUGGAGUAUGAUUUGCCUCAACUAACAACUUUUCAUUGUUUAACUUUUUCCUCCCUUAGAUAGUUGCAUAUGUUUGAUUUGUUAAUCUGCUUCUUACACAUGUUGUUUCCUAAUGGUGUAGGUGGGUUGCCGGAUGCAUGUGCAGAUUACUUGAAUAGACGAAGCUAAGAAUGACUUAGUAUUAAGUGAGAAAGAAGCUUGGGUCAGUUGGAUUUUGAUAUUUGAUUUAUUCAUGUUUUUUGUUGCUUGCAAUGUUCUCGCAUUGUUGUUCUGAGAUUCUGUGAUCUUAUUUUUCAUAGGAACUGACAUUGGUUUGCCAUAUAAUGUUUCAUGAACUAAUACAACAACUAAUCACCUUGCUUAGCUCUCAAGACACAUACUUAAUAGGUUAACAAACACUAACCUAUAAACUGAUCUGCUAAGCUGGACCAUUAACCUCUGUUUAUAUCCCUGCCACUCAUCUUUUGGCACUUAUCAAUAGCAAAAUUUAGAGUUACUGAAACCCCAAUUUUAAUGAAUAUUAUUUUUAGUUGAUAAUUAAAAUUAAUUGAUGAUUAAUCUAUUCCAUUGUGCAUUAUUUUAUCGCCAAAUACUUUGAAUAUUCAUUAGCAAAAGAUAUAGGGUUCACUAUUUAAUGAAUAGAAUUUUGAUGGUGGAUUGCAUUUCCUGAGUUAUAAAUGUGGUGAAUCCAUUAUUUACUAGCUGAAUAAUCAUAAUGUUUUGGCCACUUACCUUGAAUUUUGUUCAAAUUGAAGAAGUCACAUGUUUCUUUCUGUUGUUGAGGUAAUCUCUCUGUUGAAAGCUUCUAUUUCUUUUUUCUUUUUCUCUUUUUCAUUUGGGUAGAUUUUUUUUUUAUGGAUUUAUGUAUUUUUUUUCAGAGAAUUCGAAAUGAAAUAAGAAUAGCGGAUUGAGCAUAAACAAAUUGAUGAAAUUUUUAUUUGAGUGUUUGUGUUGGUCCUUUUUUGAUUUGUUGAGGUUUGGAAUUAUUUGAGUUUUUUUUGCUGUUAGUACUGUGAAGGAUGCUUGGCAAUCGCGAAAUGGGGGCUACCUCUUUGGAAAGAGAAGUCUCGCUAUCCAACCUCUCAUGAAUUACAAACAGGGUGCUUUCUUGCUGAAAAACCACUAAACCAGUAGAACUUUCCUCGGUUCUUCAAUUCGAUUCGAAUAAUUUUUUUACCCAGAAAGCCAGCGUUUCCUGGUGGGUUUUACAGCUUUCUCAAUGUUUUUGUGAUUUUGGAUUUGCAAAUUUGUUUUCUGUUCAAAUUUCCUUUUGUGAUUUUGGAGGUUUUGUUUAUCGAUUCUCUCACUCAUCUCUCAGCUCUCUCUCACUUUUGAGGUACAUGCCGUUGGAUUCCAUUUGCUGCUGCUGAUCUGCAGGUAAAGCUUCAAUUACCAUAUAAAGUUUACAUUUUUCAUGAUUUCUUGAAUUUGGGUUUUAAACAAAGGAAAUAUUGCUAGAUUCUUAUCUUAUGUGCAAAUUACUGGCUAUUUGGAUUGAUGCUUGAGAUUUAGAGAAUGCCUCGAAGCUUUAAUUUCUUUUUCCUUCAUUAUUACUGUUUUCAAAAUUUUUAUUGCUGGGUAUUGAUAAUUUGUAGUAUGUGAGGGCUUCAAUAUGUUGGAAUUUUGAAUGGUUAUUGCUUCAUCGGAAUUUGGGUGGUCCAAAUUUUGAAUUAGAAGAAACCCAUUUGAUUAAUAUUUUUGGUGGAUUGGUUCUCUGUGUUUUCCUUGCUAUUUCUCCCCCAGUUGGAAAUUGGAAGCCCCAACUUUGAGCUCAGAGCUUGAAUUUCUCAAUCGUUCGUUUCUCUGCACUCUCAUCAGUCACUCUUGAUCCUCUAUCUAAAGAACUGGGUAAUUUUCCAGCUCUAUCAAGUAAUACUCCAUUUAAUUGCUUAAUUGAGGUUUUUUGUUUCUCUUUUUCGCUCUUUCAUCAGUUCAUUGGCUUUGAUGUUGAGCUUAAGUAAAUGGGAGAUCAUUAAUUGGCAUUGUUCAAGAUAUAAUUCUGUGUUUUUGGAUUUGUGAAACGAUUUGCCUAAUGAUGAUAGUGGUUAAAAUAAAUUUUUCGUUAUGAAAGAGAACAUUGUUCUUCAUUUGCCUAUGGUUUUAAGUACAAAGUUAAACUACUAUGCUUUUGUUCAAUUGACUGCAACUCAUGCCGCAGUUUGCUUCACAAACCUCUACGGUUAGCUUCCAUAUAGUAUGUUGCAAGUUUGAGGAUAUCUUUACAUCUUAAUUUUUGCUCUCUCUGGUUGCUUCAAGUUUGUAAUUUUACGUGUUACAUUGCUACUUGAUUUGAUUAUAAAAAUGCAAAACAAAAUCCGUUUUGCUUUUAUUCAACUUAAAUGUAUCCUUUUGUUUGUUCAUAAUUGUGUUGAAUUUAUUCAACUUAAAUGUGUUUUAUUCAUCUGUUUACGCUUAAAACAACUGGUUUCCCUAGCAAUGCGCGGGCCUAAUUUCUAGUACAUAUACUAAAAGCCAGCAGAAAAUUACUGUUCAUCAUGGGAGAUAGAGCACUGUUCAUUAACCGUGAAAGGGCGAAAAUGCCCUCGGAUUCUUCUUUACUUCACGUACUGUUUACGAAUUGCUACAGUAUAAAGUCCGUUUUGUCCUUCCUGUCCACGCAUCUUUCAUCGUCCGUUUCUCUUGCUUCGACCACAUCUUUUUUGCUUUACCUUUCCUCUUCGUUUUUCGCAUUCGUUAGGCUACGAUUUUCGGAGGUGGAUUGUUUGCCCUCCCAUUUCCAUGGUCUCCCCAUGCCCUCCCAUUUCCAUGAUCUCCCCACGUCAAUAUUUUAUAAAAAUAAUAAAUAAAAGGUAAUAAGAAUAUAAAAUGUUGACGUGUCUUAACGUGACCACAUAGGCAUUGGGAGAGCAUGGAAAUGGGAGGGCACACAAUCCACCUCCGACUUUCUCCCUUUUCGCCAGCCCCUCUUUUGCUCUCAAAUCCUUGCUCUUUCUUUUGCAAAAUAGUCUCAGAAGAGAUCCUGGGUUUAUCGAAUCCUUUGUUGUUGGGCGUUUUGUUCUCAUCUUGCGAUCGUCGGGGCAGCAGCUUUAAGGUAAGUUUGUUUUUAAUGAUUUAUCCUCAUUUUACGAUGUCUGGGCUAACAAAUUUAAGAUCUUUAUUUUUCUUUUUGCUGCGGAUCUGCAGGUUUUGACAAGUUUUUUGUGAAAUUGGUGCUGUCAGUGGGUGUUAACAUCAGGUACCCAUGUUCAGUUUUUCGUUUUGAUUUGAAGGAAUUUCUUGCGCAGAAGAGCUAGGGUUUCUUGGUGAGUUCUUCGGGUUUUUCAUAUGGGUAAUUUUCUUUUCGGUUUAACCCUCUGCUUCUGCUGCUCUCUCUCUUUCUCUCAUCCCUGCCUGCUCCUCUCCAAUUGUUUGCUGUUCUUAAAUAUUGUGUUCAUUGCCUGAUACAACGAGGCAAUGGCGUGACAACAGGUGAGCUUGGAUAUCCAAAGAAAAAGAACAGUUGGUUCAUCUGCUGGAGUCUGAAGCUCAGAGAAGUGGAGGAAAAUUGCAGGUGUGCGAGAAAUUUUAUUUUGCUGAUAGGACUCCUUAUUUACGGAUGCAUUUUGAAAUAAUUGAAAAGUUGGAUUUGAGUUAACAGCUAUAAAAAUGUAGACAUGAUUGCUGAGAUUAUGCUAUGAAAGUGGAAUAAAAAAAUGGUAGUUUAUAAUAUUGCGUACCAAUUGUUUUCUCUCUUUUUUACCAAAUGAUAAGGGUGGUGGCUCAGGCCGCCCCCCUAAGCGUCCCCACUCUUCGACAAGUUGAAAUCGUGGUGAUAGUUUAUGGGCUGUGGUCUUGGGAUUCUGCAAAUAGAAUGAAAAACAGACACUUAACUAUCUUGUUAUUAAGCAUUUCUGCAUCAUUCAGUUGCUCUUGAUUUUCGUCUUUUAAGCGAUCUUAUUUCUGCGAUCUGACUUGAGGAGGGUUUUUAGACCUAUGGUUGUGGGUGUUUUCUCUGACCCCAUUAUCCGAGAUUUGUAGACUUGCGAUCGGCGGUCAAACAUUUUGUGAUUCUUGUUUUCUCUGCCUUUCGGUCGUUAAGCGCCGGCAGUCUUUAGAUCUUUGGCAAAUCAAUUUAAUACAACCGAGGUAUGUUUUAUAACUGCUGUCUUUCAAUUUUUGUUCUGUAUUUUUGUUAAUUUGGAUGAAGCUCUAAUAAUUUUGUUUUGGAUCAGUUGUGGUCCUCUGUUAGGAUUUUCCUGGCUAAGAGGGUAUUUGCGUUUUUGUUGCUUGGUUGGUCGAUCACAGAUUUACGAACAGCUGUGGUGGUCCUGUUAUUUUUUUGGUAUGUUUUUUCUCCUUUUUGGUUUUUUCCCGGUUUGAGCACCCAUUCAUGAAGAAUUAAAAUGUGUUUAUAGUUUUUCAGGAGAGAUUAGAAAAGUGAUUUCAAUUUGGGAAAAUUUAAUGUUGGUUAAAAUUUGUUUAUAAUUUUUGGGAAGGAAUGAGAGGACCCAUUGAAGUAUGUGUUGUGAUUAUUUUUUAUUCAUAUUUUUAACAAAUUGGGCAUGAAUUGGUAGGUUAACUGUGUGUGUUUAUUAUUUGAAUCGGCCAUGUUUGUCUUUCUAUGGUUCUAAAAAAUUUGUAAAGGCUGUUAACUUGGAAGAAAAUGGGAUCGAGGGUGAGGGGAAAACGGCAGAGAAAGCAUGGAAGAGAGAUUUGGGAUUAGGGGUAGGAAAACAGAUGAAAAGAAUAUGAUAGAGGAAUGGGUUCAGUUCAUUUUCACUAUUUUUUUUAACUGAUUUGGAUUUUGUUUGGGUUUGAGGCCAUCAUUGGCGUUAAGACGUUUAUUAUCAGAUCGUGUGUUUUUUGCUAACUUUUAUUGGUAAUUUUAAUGUUGUUCUUAUGAUUUUGUGUGGUAGGGUUUCUGAAUUUUAUCGUUAUUCAUUUGGUUUUGUGUGUGUGUUGGUUUGUUUAUUUUGCAGGUUGUGUUUGUGCUGGGACAACAUUUUCCACCUUCUGUUUGCACUGGGAUGAUUGCGUUUUAAAACUGUUGGGGUGAGAUUUACAUAUGGAAUCAUUCCAUUUUUUUUCUUCCAAAUAUGUGCAUUUAGUUCUCUUUUAUUUUAAAUUUUAAAAAUUAAAUCGUUAUUUGAGUAAAAUGUUUUAUCAGUUUAUGUUAUGUGUUGUGACCAGGAAUUCUGUUGGAUUUGCGAAUUUUGGUUUGAUGAGAGAAAUGAGGAGUUUUUUUUGUUUGAAUUUUUUAUUGGACCGAUUUUCAAUUGGAUUGCAUUCUGCCUUUUUGCACCAUUCUUAUGCAAGCAAUUCAUUGUUUUAAAUACAAUUUGAAGAGAGCUGGGUUGCGGGUUGGAUAUAAAAUGUUAAGGUGAGAUAAAAUCGAGAUACCAAGGGUGGAAGAAUGAUUCAGAAUUGGGGGAGGAAAACAGAGGGAAGAUAGAAGAAUAUAAGAGAAGGAUAGGGUUGACCUCAUUUAGAGUUUUUAUUUACUUAUUUUUUUUUAUAAAUUGAUUCAGGACUUGCAUAUCAUUUCUAAAUUUCUAACAUUUUUGUUUAAUUUGACUCCAGUUGAUGGAAAACAGAGCUCUUACUCCUAUCAAUCAGAUGGUCCCGUACAUAAAUGCAGAAAAAUCAAGGUUCGAGUUUGCAGAGUAUGCAGACCAAGGUUUCCCGAAACUACUGGUGCAUAUUCAGGCUUGCAUUGUAUAUUACUUACCUAUUAAAAAUUUGUUUGGAAUUUGCUUUUCCCACAGAGGAGAAGAGCUGACAGUUACGCUGUGGGCAGAUGUUGCUCGAAGUAUUGCUUCUUUAUCCAUUGAAUCAUUGUCUCUGCCGAUCAUUGUGGUUUUCACAAGUUUAAAGGUCAAGCUGUACCUAGGUAUUUGACUUAGUUAAAAACUAAUCUAUUUACUAUUAAUUUUUCUAUUAUAUUCAAACGUUAUUUAAUAUAUACUCUACUAAUAUUUUCUUAACAUGUCACACAAACAUAUUCACUUCUUUUGAUCAAUUUUUUUACAGCAUUUCAUAUAAAAGCUAACAUUUAGUUGAAAUUGAUUAGCAACUCUUUUCUUGCAUGUAUACAUACGAAUUAAACAAUAGUAUUAAACUAUUUGUUAUCAUUCUCAGUAUUUGUUUUAGAAUUAGAUUAAUAUAUUUAACCUGUUUUAGAAUUAGAAUUAUUUGGUAUCACUCUCAGUAUUUGUUUUAGAAUUAGAAUUAGAUUAAUAUACUGAGAUUAUUUAGACAAAUCUAGCAUUUUCUCAAAAUAUUUGACUUUUAAACUUAGAUUAAUAUAUUUAGCAGUUUUUUAACAUGCAAUUUUUCAUUAAUUUUUCAACACACAGACAAGAUAGUCUUGAACACCAUUGGUUCAUCACUUUUCUUCAUUGAUCUAGAUAUUCUGGAAGUAAAUUCAUACAAAUCAGUGUAAGUGUGUUUACUUUGUUUAAAAAAAUAUUAUAUGCUCUCACAAUAAAAGAAGGGCUAUUCUCACAAAAUUUAUGAACUAAUGUUCUGUUUUAACCUCUACAGCUUUUCCAAAUGCACAGAACCUCUAAAAAUACUGCCACCUUUUACAAAACAGGCCCGUGAAGCUCAAAUCUUGCAGACAGCGAAGGUCACAAUUGCAGACGCUGAAAUUUUCAUGCCAAAAUAUGAUGUGGAGGAUGAGAAAUUGUUUGCUGUUGUUCUCUUUUCAGUUUUGCAGGCGAUGAUCUUUUACCAAAUGUCGAGGAGCUUCCAUGGGACAUGCUCUAUGCUCUCGCUUCCCAGUUGCCUCUGUUGGGGUUGGAAAAGCUACAGAUCACAAUGUAAGUCAAAAACAGUAAAGUUCCCAAGAUGUUCUGUGCUGGAGCAGAUUUAAAGGUACGAAUUUUUAAUUUUUUUGUGAAGUCGAUGUUUUGUUUUAAAAGGAGUUUAUAAUGGAUUGAUUGGACAAGUACAGCGUGUUUUGCAGAUAAAGGGCCCUAGCCAAUUUUCUAUGACCUAUAAAGCAUUAACCAAAUUGGGUUUUGUUUGUUUGGUAACAGGGGUUGUUCAGGUUAGGUUGGAGAGGUUGGAGGUGAGAAAUGCAAUUGGGAAAGAUACGCUGAGAGUUUUACAGAACACCUUUGAAGCUGUCAGUGAGGAUUCUUCUGCUAAUGUUUUGUUGAUCAGCAGUAAAGUUCCCAAGAUGUACUGUGCUGUAGCAGAUUUAAAGGUAGGAAUUUUUAAUUUUUUCGUGAAAUCAAUGUUUUGUUUUAAAAGGAGUUUAUAAUGGAUUGCAUGGACAAGUACAGAGUGUUUGUUUGUUUGGUUGAAUGUAAAAAGGAAUUGGAAGAAUGAUGAAAGUACUUGCAUUUGGUUGUAGUUGGUCAGGCACUGAAGGACCGGUCAAUACGAAGUGCAUCUGUGGGACAAUAGUUGAAAGAAGGCCAGAGCAGGAAGAGAAGGCAAGGUUUGUGAAGAAAAACAGUGAUGUGUUUAAUUAGAAGAAAUGUGCAUUUUUUUUUCCCAGUCAAAUUCUGCUUUUGUUCUGACUAUUUUCCUUACUGUAUGCUGAUUUUAUUAUUUAAUUUUUGGUUUUUCCUUGAUUGGCUUGGGAAUUACAAUCAAAUGAUGAAUCUUCAGUUUACUUGGGUAAGCAUUUUUUAACAUAUAAUUUAGCUGACCAUUUUAACUGUCAGACCAUGUUGUUUUUGGUUAUCUAAUCAUUCCAAGAUGGCAAGUUAGGAUUGGAAGGGUUGCUAGAAAUAAGGAUUAUAUCUUGGGACAUUCGGUGAGUGAUUUUUCAAACUUUCAGUUUUACAAGACAAAAUAUCUAUUUUUGUGUGUAUUCUUCAAGCAUGUUAUCAUUAUUUAGGUUGUAGGAAAAAAAGAGAGUGACUUGAGGUGUUUUUAGAUAUUUUUGUGUGUAUUCUUCACAAUGUAUUAAAAGCGCGAGGCGUGGGCGAGGCGUCUGAGGGAUAGCCCACGCCUCACGCCUUACGGGACCUAAAUUUUUUAAUAUAUACACUGAGCGUACACAUAUAUUAUAUUAAAAAAAAAUUAUUAAUCAAUAAUUACCCUGAGCGCACAUAUAUAUUAUAAAUACAUAUAUACACAUAUAUAUACAUAUAUUAUGUUAUAUAUAUAUAAAAUAGAGGAUGAAAAGCACAAUGAGCACACAUAUAACAAUGCAUGCAGACGGCACACAAUAUAGUGCAAGGAAUAGGUAUGAGGUAGUUAAAACCCUACCCAAAAUCUGGGUUUGGGAGUAAAAAUAAAAAAUAAAAAAAAAAUUGCUUGAGGCGCGUCUAGGCGGCUCCGACAACGCCUUCCGGCGCCUUCCGCCCACUCCCUCAAAACAAAGGCGGCAACCCUCAAGUCCAGCCUCACAGGGUGCCUAGGCGCACCCUGAGGUGAGCCUUUUAAAACAUUGAUUCUUCAAGCAUGCUAUCAUAAUAUUUGUAACUAUAAAAAAUAAUAUACUAUUAUACCUCUGUUUCUCUUUUCUUUGUUUUCAUGAGAAAUUAAUUGCCAUUGGCAGCACUAUAGAAAGCCAUCUUUCUCCAUUAUUCUCCGCUUCAUGCAUAAUUACAUAAUUCUACUAUCACAGUUGUCAGUCCUGAACAAUCAUGCAAGUCUAGUGGCAAAAACCACCUCAAUGAACAACUCUCACACACACACAGACACUGAUCAUACAUCUCUAACUCUCUUUUUCAAAUAACACACACUCUGAUCCAAAACAGGGUAAAUAAAAUGCACAUCCUUAUACAUUUCUAACUUUGUUUUUCGAAAUCCAAAAUAGGGUAUUCUAACUCUCUUUUUCAUUCAUUUCUUACAAACCAAUCAUACAUUUAAAAUAGGCUUUGAAUAAAAAUAGGGUAUAUAAUUAUAUACCUCAAAAUGCCUAGGAACCAACUUCCCCCUCCAACGAUUCAAAUUCUUGAAAUUGCCAACACAGUAAAUCCAUUAGUACUAUAUAAAUGAAAACACAAUUGAAACCCAUCAAACAAAACAAUCCCACAAUUUAAAUGAUUCAAUCCUACUACAAUUGAAAUUCACAGAAAGAAUGAAAAACCAGAACAAAACUGCAGCACCUAAAAAGUUGUCAUACAAAAAAACAUGGAAUGUAAAAAUAUGUUAAGAAAUCUAGUUCGUUAAUUUCCAGCUGCUAAGUGGCAUUAUGUAACUUUAGUAGUAUACUAAUUAACUACUUAUCUGGUGGGUUGCACUUUUAUCCAAUUGGUAAGGAAAGGAAAAUAAAAAUCAACCCCUUGGUCUUAGUUGUGGCUGCAAAGUGCAGGCCACCACCAAGUCUCAGUGUUUGUGUUUUAGCAAAACACUUAAAUAAAUUAAAUUCUGAAAUGUAAAUUAUAUUCCUAUAACUUUAAGAUGCACAUAUAGUAUUGUUGAAGUCGAACUGAAAGCACUGACAAUUCCAAGCAACAGAGCAGCAAUUAUUAAGAGCCAAAACUCAUUCCUAGUCUCCUCAUCCUGGUACUCAACUCCGUAAUCUUUGGUCAGCAUCAUUGACUGAAAUUAGGAGAGAAAAAGAAAAGGAAUUUCAGAAAUUGUCUAUGAAGCAAAGGAUACUGCAGUUACUUCAAGACAUGUAAAUUGCAUAUGUAUAAAGUAAUUUUCUACAUAAAGUAAUGAGGCAUAACUUUCUCUCUCCUCUUCAAACCCUAAACAGAGCAAAGCAACAAACUUUACAGAGAUUAGAAUGAGAACUGGAACUAAUCGAACAAUGACUGAAAAGUAACAUACUUGAGGAGUGAAUGAUUUAGUGUUUCCAUCAUCGGAAGCCGGAGUAAGUCGCUAAGAGAGGUCGCAAACAGCCCAAAGGGACAAACCCAGAUCCCCGGCCCCGAUCCAUACCCUUCCCCCUCAAAUCCCGACGGCCCCCAUACUUUUCUCUGACUGUACCCCCUCUCCCACUCAUGAAAUCGAGGAUCUGUAGCAAUGGUACUGAGAUCCCCACUCCUCCCUCUCCCUUUCUCUCUGUCGCUCUGUCUCCCUCUCCCUCUGUCUGUCUAUCUUUAUCCCAGAGCGGCAUGGCCUCCCAUCCCUGAAACCCUCACCGAAAGGUGGCAAUUUUGUAAAUAACUUGAAAUCCACCAACAACAGGGGCAGAGAAUUGAAACAAACAUUUAGGCUCGUUCGAUAACCAUUUAGGCCAAAACUGAGCACACCUAAACCAUUCCUACCCGUGCCAAAUGUUAGUGGGGAAGCAAGAUGAAGACUUAUUUUUCAAAACCAAAAGAAAAAAAAAAGAGAAAACAAAAUAACAAAUCUAAUGGUUGUAGUGUAAAAGCUGAGAACGUAAAUAAGAGCAGUUCCAGCCUUGUAAAUAGGCCGGGGGACAGGGGAGAAGAAAAGGCCUGAGGGCCUGUCAAGUUGCUCCAGCUAUGAGGAGCCCGAGCUCGUGGAGAAGGCCCGAGCAGGGGGUCUGUCAAUUUGUGACAGCCUCGGAGCCCGAGCUCCAAGCCCAUUUUUUAUUUUUUUCUGUCAGGCGCGUGCACCCCACUCGCGCGUGGGGGCGCGUCGCCCGACAACUUUUCAGAAAAACAGACAACUUUUCAGCCUUUCACAGUUACCGUUGGGAAGCCACGUGGCUUCCCACGGUCUGUUCGAUCUCAACGGCUCCUUCAUUUGGACCGUUGGAUCUCAAUGGUAAAAAAAAUAAAAAAAAUCUGAUUUAAUAUCAACCGUUCGAUCCGAGAUCAACGGUCGAUAUUAAUAUGCUUUAUAAAUAAAGAAAAAAUAGUUUUAAAAUUAAGAAAAGUUACCGUUGUGACACGUGGCACAAUCUGGAGUGUUGGAAUUCAAAAUUUUUUAAAUCCAACGGCAGAAAUUAAUUAUUGGAAUUUUUUUUUAAAAAUGGAAAAAAUCCGAAAAAAUUGUAAAAAAUCUGAAAUUUUUUUUGUAAAAAUUUGUUUUUACUUUUCUAUAAAUACCACUUCUUCUCUAUCUACCUUACACCACAAUUUCAUAUUUUCUCAACUACUUUCAAUCAAAUUCCUAUCUUUCUCUUAAAGUUUCAAUCCAAUUUUUUUCCACAAAAUGGCUACUGAUGCAGGUUCGAAUUGGUCGCUUCUUGAAGAUGUUGCGUUGUGCACUAGCUGGGUUCAAGUUACUCAUAAUUCCGUUACGGGUAAUGAGAUGCAGUUGCGAGAAAUGUGGAGUUUAAUUCAUACCAAAUUUGUUGAGCAAAUGAGUGGGAAAAGAACCAAAGAAUCGAUAUCGAGUCGUUGGAAAAUACUUAGCCAUUCCUUUAGUACGUGGAGAGAUGCCUUGACACAAGCUAGUAAUAAUGUUCGAAGUGGGGCAAAUUAUGCGGAUGAGGUAAGAAUAUAUUAUAAUUAUUUGUUUGUAUUAUUAUUUUGUUACCUAAUUUGAUUAUAAUUAUUUGUUUGUUUCAUUUAUUUGUUACCUAAUUUCAUUAUUAUUAUUUGUUUGCAAUAUUUAUUUGUGACCUAAUUUCAUUAUUAUUAUUUGUUUGUAUUAUUUAUUUGUUACCCAAUAAUUUCAUUAUUAUUAUUUGUUUGUAUUAUUUAUUUGUUACCUAAUAAUUUCAUUAUUAUUAUUUGUUUGUAUUAUUUAUUUGUUACCCAAUAAUUUCAUAAUUAUUAUUUGUUUGUAUUAUUUAUUUGUUACCCAAUAAUUUCAUUAUUAUUAUUUGUUUGUAUUAUUUAUUUGGUACCUAAUAAUUUCAUUAUUAUUAUUUCUUUGUAUUAUUUAUUUGUUACCUAAUAAUUUCAUUAUUAUUCAUUUGUAGCAACUUCAAGCACAAGCAUGGUAUGCUGCCAAAAUCAAAUCAAGAAACAAAUCAUUCCACCGAUGGGAAUGUUGGAAUAUUGUUAAAGAUUGUCCUAAAUUCAAAGUUGUGCCUGUUGGUCCAGAAGUAUGCAUGAACAGCAUCCCUCUACACAGCACCUUUGUAUACAGCAACCCUCCACACUCUACACCUGAUGAUGGCACUCAGGUUGAUGAAGAAGAUGUAGAUUUAUUUAAUUUCGUAAUAUAUUUAUCCUAAUAAUAGAAUCUUUAUUCAUCAAAUUGUUCACGUAUAAUGAAAUAAUGAAACACACCAAAUAAAACUAAAAAACUCACCAAUUGGAAUUACAUAAACAUACCAAAUAAAAUUACACAAACAUACCAAAUAAUAAAAAACUCACUACAAAAAACACACCAAAUUAAAUUACAUAAACACACCAAAUACAAACAAAUAUAGUAAAUAAACUUAAGUAUCUUCAGCUUGUUUCAAUGCCCACUGGUGCUCUAUCAAGUCAAUUUGCCGAUCAUUGUGUAUAGAUGACCUUUGAAGUGCAGUAUAUUGUUGAAUAACCCUUUCAUUGUAACGUCCAUCCCUUUCUAAUGGCUCGUGUUGCACGGGUUCUUCGGUGGCAUCAUGCGCACAAUAUAUCCGUGUUCUUGAAUUGUUCAUCGUGUCUGGCUCUGGCUCAUAUUCAUCAACCGCAUCAUAAUCGAACUCAUCUUCCACAAUCAUGUUGUGAAGAAUGACGCACGUCAUCAUGAUGGAUCGAAGUGACUCUACAUCGAACAUUCUGGCAGCACCCCUGACAAUCGCCCAACGAGCUUGAAGGAUACCAAAACAACGCUCCACAUCCUUCCUGCAUCCCUCUUGACAGCUUGCAAAGUGUUUUUCCUUUGCACUUCUCGGACGUGGCACUGUUUUGACAAAUGUUUCCCACUGUGGGUAAAUGCCGUCAGCUAGGUAGUAUGCCCCGUCGUACCUACGUCCGUUGACGACAUACGUGACUUGUGAUGCCUUUCCUUGGAGGACGUCGUUGAACACUAGGGAUUGGGUAAGGACGUUGAGAUCAUUUUGAGCCCGGGAACCCCGAAAAAGGCGUGCCAUAUCCAUGUAUCAAAAGAUGCCACUGCCUCCAAAAUGAUAGAUUUUGCUCAUUUUCUGUCCCCAUAUGCGCCUUGCCAUGCACUUGGACAGUUUUUCCACGUCCAGUGCAUACAAUCGAUGCUUCCUAUCAUCCCAGGAAAACCUCGCAUCUCGCCCUUCUUCAGAAGCCUUUGCAAGUCCAUGUGAGUAGGUCUUCGGAGGUACUCUGCCGUGUACAAAGAUUCGACUGCUCCGCAAAACCUCAUCAGGGCCUCAAGAAUGGUUGAUUUCCCCAUCCUCGUUAUCUCAUCCACUUGGUCUGCAGAUGCUCCAUACGCAAGCAUCCGCAACGCAGCAGUGAUUUUUUGCUCUGGCAGAAGAUCCAUAACACCACAAGCAUCCUUCUUUUGCACGAAGUAAGAAUCAUGGUUGCAAACAUCAGUCAUGAUUCUGUUGAACAAAUGUCGUUCCAUUCUAAAACGGCGUCUGAAGUACGUAUCAGGAAAUGCACUGUUAUGGACGAAGUAAUCGUCCAACAGCUCUUCACCCCGUCGUUGCCUGCUUCUAUCAAGGUUUUUUGAACGGCUGGGCCUGCAUAUCUGAGCAACAGUCUGGAUGACUCGACGAGAAUGUGAGGCUCUGGCCAUUCUUGUUUCGUCAUCUCUCUUUCUACGCUCCUCAUCUUCUUCCAUCUCAUUUCUGCCUAUAUGAAGGUUGAACAUUCCUUCAGAUUGGUUAAACAAUUCUUUCUCUUGCUGAUUGAUUUCCCACAUCAUCCUUGAUGAAGAAGAAGACAUUGUAGGAUGGAUGGUGAAGAAGAAGCAAAAUCUAUGAAUAAUGAGAUUGAGAUGUUGAGAAAAUUGGUGUGAGAUUUGUGAGGAUGGAUGGUGGAUUAUAUGGACGAUUCAGAAAGGAUCGGAUUGUAGAUAAGGCCACGUGGCAUGCCGUCAUUCGUUAAAAAUCUGAUCGAAAUCUGUCCUGAAAGAUUCUGAAAAGAUAAUGACACGUGGCACGAUCGUAUUGGAUAAAAAUCUUAUCGAAAUCCAUCUCCAAUAAUUAUCAUUUUGGAUAAUGACACGUGGCGCAAUUUUGAACGAGUUAAAAUCUGAUUGAAAUCUGUCUUGAAAGAUUCUGAAAAGAUAAUGACACGUGGCACGAUCGUAUUGGAUAAAAAUCUUAUCAAAAUCCAUCUCCAAUAAUUAUCUUUUCGGAUAAUGACACGUGGCGCAAUUUUGAACGAGUUAAAAUCUGAUCAAAAUCUAUCGUCAAAGAUUCUCAAACGAUAACGACACGUGGCACGAUGACAUUUGAUAAAAAUCUUAUCGAAAUCCAUCGUUAAAUAAUUGUUUUUUUUUAUAAAAUGAUACGUGGCGCAACGAUAACGAUUUAAAAAAUCUUAUCCGAAAUUACAAAUAAUUUUAUUUUGUAUUAUUUAAACAAACAAAAAAAACUAAUAUUUUAUUGCCUAUUGCCAGGGGGAGGGCUCCAAGGGUGGAGAUGCAAAUGGCAAUUACUGUUCAUUAAUGUCAGUUACUAUUCAUUCAAGGCAGUUACUGUUCAAUAGGGUGGAUUCAAUAGUGGAUUGCCAGGGGGAAGGUCUUCAUGGGUGGAGUUGCUCUAAACAUGCAGGGAAAAAAAUGAAGAUACAAAGUAGCUGCAUCAUGAAACACAUACUCCAAUUAGACGCAAAAAGUGAUGGUGAUGAGAAGAGAGAAAAUGUUGUCGUUUUGAUUUUUCUGGCUUUUAAAGGGAGCAGCUUUCUUCGACCACCAAAAAAAGGAAGUUGCUUUUCGUGUGGUUGUGAUUUCCUGAGUGUAUGUGAGCGGGUCUAUGGCACUUGCACUGUUUGUGUCGGUUAUGGUAACCGGGCGAGCUGGACACAGUAGCGUGGGACUGAAUUCGGAGAGGUGAGAAAAAUUAAAAACACAAAAAGAAGGUGUUCAUUUUGUCACAUUUUUAUUACUAAAAAUUCAAUAAAGUACAUUCAUUAGUAUGGUAACUUAACUAUUUAAUUCCAUCUCAUUAAACUAAAAAAAACAAUUACAAAAAAAUAAGGAAAACCUUGUCCAGAGAGACCUGAGAGAAAGUGACGACUUCUCCUCUCAUUCCACUCCAUACUUGAUCUCUAAAGUCCAUUUGGCAUGUAAUUGAUGUUCAAUUUCAAAUAAAGUGGUGGCAAUUAGCAAAGCUAAUGAAAGAAUCAAAUAAAAUGAAAGAAAAAGCAUCAUGAAAUAAAUCAAGAUGAAGAAUGAAAUUUUGGCAACUCGCCAUUCUCUUCUUUUAUAUAAAAGAUACAUCCUAUUUGUAGUGAAAACAGGUCCCGACAAACCCAGUUAUCCUCAAGAAGUAUUUUGUAUGACUUUAAAAACAUAAUCCGUGAAAUUAUCUCUUGGCAGAGAACAACAACAAAUCUUCAUGCAUAGCUUGUAGAGAAAGACAUCAGGCAUACAAAAGAACAGGCAAGCAUAAAAUAAACGAUGCAUGGAAAACCAAAAAUACAAUUGAAUAUGCUGUCAAAAGAACAUGAAUAAAUGAAAAUUACAAAACAAAGAAGUGAUGGGAAACCAAAGUAUUCAUAAUCUAAUUGCUUUUUAGUUUGCUUGCCAUUUUUAGUUCUUCAAUUUAGAGAGAAACCAUAAUUCAGCACAUGAAUAAAGUGAAAACGUAAAAGAUACGUGGGAUAAGCUGACAGCCAUCCCUGAGUAAUGCAUUCACUUUUGAACCCCAAACACACCGAAACAAAAAUUCACACACAUGAACUACAGCUCCGCUAUGUAACAAGAAUUAAAAGCAUCUCAAAACAAAAUGGCAAACUAUAAGAGCAUUGUAAAAGUAAAAUUGCAUCUAAUACUUGGAGGGCAAGUACUAAUCAGACGAAAAUGAAAGAUUGAACUACCUCACGUGGAACUGUGCCUUGGUUUUUUCCCAUGCUUACAAGAAGCUUUGCACUGAGCUCUUAUAGCCCAAAUUUUCUCUGAAGGAAAAAAAACACAAUUUUGGAAUAAGAUUUUCAUAUUAUACCUUAAAGAGAAGAAUUAGACAACAAAAAAGAGAACAAUGAGUACUAUUCAUCAUAUAUUGUUAAGAGUAUGUGGUCUUCUAGUCCAAUGGUCCUGCAGUCAUAUUUACUUUAUAACUCUUUCUUUUAGUCUAAAAAAACAUCUUGGAUCUCAAAUUAUUAUGAAUACGGAUUCAUACUUUAUAACUAAAGAUCUUACUGCUCUUGAUAAGAUGAACAAUACGCCAUUUAUCGCAUGCAUUGCAUUACAAUCACAAUGCAACAUCUCAUUAGAAAUCCCCACACAAAGCAGCUCCACUCAUUGUGGUCCUUGCAAACCGAAUUGGCCCAACGAUCAGCGAGAGAAAGGAGACGGCGGCGAGAUGAGGGAUAUGAUGGAUGCGAGAUCGUCUGUAUCGUUAUCGCGGGGGGUCUGCAAGACGGACGAGGAAAGUAGGGUUUGAGAAGGCAUUGUCUUCUCGCGGGGUAUGUGUCCUUCCUAUUCCACGAUUAUCAACACGUGUGCAUCAGGAGGAGCGGCAGAGAGAGGCAUUGUUGUAAAUAAAGUGAAAUCGAAGGGUAAGGGCCCAUUCUUUAAGGUAAUGGCAUGGCCAUAAAUAGAAUGAAAUCCAGAUCAAAACACUGUCAUUUGUACAGUACAAUUUCUCCAUCUUCUUCAGACUAAAGUAAUGUAUAUGUUAUACGCACCAACACAAGUCCUUCUUAGAUAAAUCCAAGCCAAACAAUUACAAACGACAGUUAUUCACAAGAAAAUCACUUUAAAGCAAGAAUUUAAUUAAUAAUACAUUACUACACUUUCUUAACAAUUUGACGGUCACCUAGCUAACAAUGAACACGUUAGCUAUGCGUUAGAACAUAUUGGGUUCAAUCCAUAGUCUUGAAUAUCACCCCGAGUCACAACUGUCUCUUGGGGCAUACAGAAGGCCUGAGAGGCAUUUGCAGACAUUCAAUCUCUCCUCCAAGCAUUUCGACAACUUUGGAAAUCGAAAGGCGAUCACUUGGUUUCAUUUGAAUACACCACAAGGCGGUUAUAACCAUCUUUCUUAUCACUUUCUUUUCCUCCUCUGUAACAUUGUCUAUUUCCAAGUCAUUUCCCACAAUAUACUGAUCAUAUACCCACAUCGGGAAGUAGAUUUGGCUUGGAUGCUCUACCGUUGCAUUCAAAUUCUUCCUUCUGCUUGCCAUUUCCAUCAACAACAUUCCAAAACUAUAGACAUCGGCCUUGUAUGAGACACCUCCAAUAUUUUUGUAGAACAACUUAGGAGCAAUAUAUCCCAUUGUACCCGUGUUGCCGUCAAAGAGACAAUGAGAAAACUCUUGAGUUCUUCAGAAACCACGAGAAACUUAAAACUGAGAAAGCUUCGUGAUCUCCCUUCCAUCUCUGCUACGCAAUCUCUGCUUCCUCCGUGAUUUCUUCCUUCCUGAUCGACAUCUAUUCGAAUUGAAAACCUUCUGGAGCUCACUACCCCCUUUGUCAGCAGUAAUUAGGGGUGGGUUCAAAAAACCGAAAACCGAAAAAAAUCGACAACCGAACCGAACCGAGGCCGAAAAAAACCGAACCGAAAAAAAACCGAACCGAAACUGUCAAACCGAACCGAACCGAAUCUGACCGGUUCGGUUUCGGUUUUUGAGGUUCAAAAACUGAACCGAACCGAACCGAACCGAUAUAUAUAUAUUUAAUUUUUUUUUCAAUAUUAUAAAUAGUUUAGGCAUACAAUCAUAACAAAACAGAACUUGUUGCCAAGUUGGUUUAAGCGAAAUUUUUCACACUGGUGGCAAUGGGUUCGAACCCUCAUGCCUUUAGGAUUUAUGAGAUUGUUUUUUAAUUUUGUUGAGAAAUCAACAAAAUCCUUUAACCCUAACUUUUUUAUUUUUCAUUCCCCUCUUCUCUCUCUUGUUCCCUGCCUCCAGUCCAAACUCCCUCCAUGAACCCUAACCCAGUAACCCUCUCGCGCCGCCUGAGCUUCCUGUCUCUCUCGCUCGGUCUUCAAUCGCUCUGUCUCUCUCAAUCUCUCAGGCAACCCGCGACAGUGCGACCCUUCUCACUCUCAAUCUCUCACACCUCGCCCUCUCCAUCAGUCUCUCAUCUCGCCGUUUCGAGUCUCGAUAGCAAAAGGUUAGCCUCCUCUCUCUCUCUCUCGGUCUUCAACUUCAAUCACUCUCUGUCUCUCUCAAACUCUCUGUCUCUCUCGGUCUUGAAUCUCAGGCGACCCACGACGGGGCGACCCAUCUCACUCUCAAUCUCUCACACCUCGCCCUCGCCGUCAGUCCUUCAUCUCGCCGUGAGCUUCUUCUUGCCGUUUCGAGUCUCGACUGCAAAAGGUUAGUCUCGCCGUGAGCUUCUUCUUGUUCGUUCGCAGACGGAAGCUCUCUACUCCAAACUCUACGAAAAGUACACAAAAAUCAAGGUGUUCUGUGUUCUUUCCCACUUCUUUACAAUUUUUUUUGCUCAUUCAUUUUUUUUUGCUUAAUCAGUUAAUUGUAUGUUAAAUUUGCUCAGGGGAGAAAUUUGAGGUUAGGGAAAUAGAAAGUAAUUGUCUUUUUUUGUACUUUUGAAUUUUUUUUGCUCAUUCAUUUUUAAUUGCAUGCUAAAUUUGAGUUGGGAACUUUUGCUUACUUGUUACCCAGUUGGAUUUUUUUGAGCUACUUUUGCAGUUUCUUUCUUCGUCUUAAUUUGGGAACAAUUUGAUCAUGUUUGACUUAUCAUUUUGUUAUUGGAGGAAAUCAGCAGCUUUAUGGUUUGGCAAGGUGUAGUGACGAUAGAUAGCCUACUUUUAUGUAUAAUUUGAAAGAGGAUGGAGAUAAGUAUAUUUCUCUGGGAAUCAGAGCUUCCAUGAUAUGUGAUUACCUGUUAUCUUUGAAUUUCUCUUCCGACUCUUGUAUUUCCUUAAGUGAAACUAUGGCCCUGCAAAUUUGACAUGUUGUUGAAGGUUGUAAAUCAUAUGUUGUUCUUUUAGUGGUAAAAAUCUUGUUAAACAUGUAUUUUCAUUUAGGUUAUGGACUCUUGGACAUGCUAAGUCAUGAUGGAAAAGACCAAAGAUUCAUUGGUAACGUGUUCUGAAAAGUAGCAUAGGCAUUGCAAUUCUCUGAGUAGCGUUUUAUUAUGGAUAACGUUUUUGGUGCUGAAGGAAGAUUUCCAUCAAACCUAGCAUCAAUAGAGCAUAUUGUUUCUUGACUACAUUAUGUAUGAGUAUUAGAGUUUAAAUUGUAAACGGAUCUGGACAAUAUAUGAAGUUGGUAUUGAUUUCUCUCAGAGAACAAAUAGAAUUGAACAUCCAGGCUUGUUCUUGUUGACAUGAUUUAUAUAAGAUAUACUUAUAUCACUUUAGAGAAAACUGGUUAUAUGCAUCUGUAUUGUCUCAAAUUAAUUUUAGGCUUCCCUUCAAAGCGUUCUUUUUGUCCAUCCAUCUGGGUGGUGUUCAAUUUUAGAUUAUCCUUUGAAUACUAGACGUCCAGAUAAUGGCUUUGUGGUCCUUCAAAUAAAUUACUGAUAAUGUUCAUGCAGUUGAUGGUGAAACAGGUAUGGUAAUUAAACGACUUCAUGUUUAGGAAUGAUAGGCUUGUACUUUGUAUUUUAAAGAUGUGUGCAUUUUUCAUAUAAAUUUUGUUCAUUGUGUUAGAAUGCUUAUAUUAUAAUUGUGUUGGAGAUGUUAAAAUUUUAGAUUUCAAUUUUGUUUUCAUUUUUCCCAAAAAAAAAAAAAACCGAAAAAAACCGAAACCGAAAAAAACCGAAAAAAAAAAUGGACCGAACCGAACCGAACCGUUUUGAACCGAACCCAGCUCUAGCAGUAAUAAUUUGUUUUUGCAGCUUUAUGUGUCUCUGUCUCCAAAUAUGAUGAUCUCUUAAUUUGCUUCUAUAGCUUUUGUAAUAUGAUGAUCUCUUAAUUUGCUUUUGCAUAUCUUCUUUGCUUCUUCUGCUAGCUCUAUAUGAGAUUCCAUCUCCAAAUAAUUGUUCCCUAUUUCCUAUUUUUACAGGAAGCAAAUCAUUGAAUACACAUGGAAAAUUAAAAUGGUUUCAGUUUUUGGUUAGUUUAAAUUUUUUGUUGGUUAUUGCUUGUAUUGUGAAAUCUCGUUCCCGGAUUUCACUGUUAUAAUGUACGUGUUUGUAUUCUCGAGAAUUUAUAUUAAGUUAUUUGAAGUUAUACUUUAAUUAAACUAGUUACGAAGGUUAGAGUUUGGAAAUUAAUUAUUUAAAAUUCGUAAACCGUCCGAGGUCACAAUUUAUAUCUGUGGAUAGAGCUAGGGGUGGGCAAACGGGUCUAGGAACCGCGGGGCGGGUCGGGUCUAGCCGGUUCGGGGCGGGUACAAGUUUUGUAAACUCAAAACGGGGCGGGUCGAGGCGGGUCCAUGUAAUUGGCGGGGCGGGGCGGGUCUAAAUUUCUGAAAAACCGGGUACCCAGGCCCGGACCGUUUCCACCGUCCAUAUACGAAGAUUAAAUCUCUACCAUUCAUUACUACCACUCUUUCUCUUAGUCGCUGACUCUCGCCUCCUCUCUCGACUUUUCCAGGAUCCAUCCUCUCUCAAGAUGGACUCAGCGCCUACUCCACCGCUCACUCCUCCUCUCGUUGAAGCCACGGCGGUCUUCAUCGGUGCUACCCCUGCCCCAUAUUCUCUCAGAUCAGAGUCGUCACUCCCCUCUCCCACUCGAGUCGAGGCCUCUUGUGAACACCACCACCGCCGUCGAAACCUCCUCCAUGAAAGACACCUUCUCCAAAUAUUCUGAUUACCUCAACAAUCUCGUAAUCCCUAAUUUAAUCUUCACCAAUUUGCAGCUCUGUGAGCGACUCGAAGGUUUGUAGAAUGACAAGCGGGAAAGGGUUGUAAAAGCAAGUCGCGAUAUCACCAUUAAUAGCAAAAAGGUCAUCUUUAAGGUUCACAGGUAAGAAAGCUGCGACCUUUUGCUUCAAAUUUUGUUUCUGUUUUUUGGGUUUUUGAUUUUGGAUUUUGGUUUUUUUUUUUAUAAUAAUUUUAUUUAUAUCAUCAUUGAAAUGAUGUUGCUGUGGAAUUUGAACUUGAACAGAAUCAAUAAACACAACAAAGAGGAAGUUCUGCAGAAAGCUGAAAAGGAUUUAGUAGCUGUGAGUCUGCGACAGAUCAGUACAUUUCCCAGCUUGUUAGAGAGAUGCAGGCUAAGUUUUUUUCUUUUAUUACUGUUACUCUGGGAUUCUUUGAGAAAACUUGAAGCUUGAAUUGUUUUUGUUUUCUGGGUGAUUUGGAAAAUGGGCGAAAAAAAAAACAAGGACCCGUGUACCCGGCCCAAACCGGCCCGUUUGAAAAGGGUCGGGUUAGGUCCGGUUUCUAUUUUAAAAUUUGUUGCACCCGGCCCGCUCCGGCCCGUUUCUUUUACACCCGGGUCCGGUCCGGUCCCUUCAAAAUUGGGCCCGGCCCGGCCCGUGCCCAGCCCUAGAUAGAGCUCGAUCUCACGAACGCGUAGGCGCAAAUCGUUCAUGAAACAGAUCUAUAACGAAGAAGUUAUAGACGUUUUAGUUGUUGGAAAAUAAAUAAUUAAAUGUUUAGAAGCUGCCAAGUGGCAGCAAGGGAGAGGGGAGAAAGGAGAGAGUGCGGGAGAGAAAAGAGGGGGACACCCAAUAAGAAAGGAGAAAGGAGGGAAAUGAGAGAAAAGAAAAAAAAAAAGGGAAGAAAAGGGAGAAACGGGUUCGUACGACCCGUGGGUAUUGCCGGCCACCCAUCUCCAUUUGCCGACGAUUUUCCGACGAAUUUCUUCAAACAACCACUUGGAAACACUCCCUUGUCCUUCCCUCUACAUGUUUCACCCUAAAAAUAAAAGGUUUUGGACUUGAAUAGGGAGAAACCGCACUAAGGGUGUAGCGGGUGUGUGUGUCAAAUCUCCCAAAUCCAAAAUGUUUACACCCAACGACCACCAUCAAAAGACUUUCCUUAAGCCCCUGAACAAAGCCCAGGCAGUGGUGGAGACGUCGGAGCAAGUUUAGAGGUCGAAUUGGAGCACACCCAAUUCUAGGGUUCUUACGGGUUUUAGAGAAAUUGGAAUACUUCUUGAUCAAAUUAGCCUUGGUCACAGGUAUAAAGUUUACUCUACUCAUUGAGAUCUUUAUUUCUGUAAUUUUUGGUAAUUUUUAAAAAUAGUUGAAUUUUUCCGGCAAAUCGGGGCGGCCGACCGCCACCCGCUGCGGCGCGUGCGGCGGCGGCCUGGCCAGCGAGCCAACGAUGUCCUUUUAAGUUCAAUUAGAUGCCCUGAUUUCAUAACUGACAUCCUUAUGUUAUGGUUUGAUUGUUUAAACCUAAUUUCAUUACGAUAUGUGGGUAGGUCAAAAUGUGAUUCGACGAUCCGACCGUUGGAUCGUCACCAAACUUUAAUGCGUCAUAGAAUGUAAUAUUUGAGGAUGGUUGGAACUAACGGAUUGGGAAUCUGAUGUAUGGAACUUCCUGAUUUGGAUUUCUAAGUUUGUAAAUCAAACAUUGGUCACCACUUGAAAUUGUAAAAUCAAACAUUGCAUAUAAGCAUGCUAGAGCCUUUAAUUGUUAAUUACAUGUAUAUGUGUUGCUAAAAUGAACUUAGUUUAUCAAAUUUUUAUUUCAAUAUCAACUUCUAUGGCAUGCGUGGUGUCUCAUGUCAAUCACACAAAUGUUAUGUAAAAAGAAUAUACACGUUGUGUUGCAUGAUUGACAAUUAACGACACAUAGUGUUAUAACCGUGUCAAUGUUAUGAAGGUUUUUAUGCAAAGUCACUUGAUAUGCCGCAACAAUUAGUAAACAAUAUUAGAAAGACCUAGAGGAACCCACAAUUAAUUCCGAUUCAAUAAGUAGGUCAUGUGCAAGCAAGGCAUGGGCUUCCCAUGGGUAGGAGCUGGAAUUUACCCAUAUUUGGUAGUUAUGUACCAUAUGUUUACCCGCAUGACGCUGAGUGUAAUCCUUCUUAAGGUUCAACAAUAUUGUUUCUAUUAACAAAUAUAAAUAAAAAAUAAGCAAAAUACUAGAGAGAUUACACGUUUAUAUUACAUUGUUGUACCAUAUUGUGAUAUGGCUGUGUACAUACCAUGUCUUGUAAUGAGUUUAUCUCAUUAGAUGUUAGACUGUUAAUUAUAUGUAUCACUUGUCAUAUCAUACAAUACAUCAAUAUGAUAUAAAUAUGCCAUCUCUCAAACAUUACUCUUAUCAGAAACCCCAAAAAAUAGGAAAUGCUCUAUACUAAAGCGGAAUGAGAAAAACAUUGUUCAUAGGCAACAGUAUUUUUACUUUUUUGCCCUCAUUUUUAAUGUUUCUGUGUUCCUACUUUUAUGCCUCUAUACGGUGAAAUCGCCAAUUGACCUAUGGGCAUGGGUGUGUAUAAAAAUUGUUUUGCACACGUGGCGUGCUAGGGAGAUUUCUCUGCAGCACUGCUUCAUUAACUGUUUCAUUUCUCUGCACCGUUUCCUUCUAGCUCCACUCCGAAUUGAUACCGAAUACUGGUCAACCAAAUUUUCUCAUCAUUUCGUUCCGUCCUUCUCCACAUCUUCAUUCUUGCUCCACCAUGAAUCGAAACAAAAAAUUGCUCAUCCAAAUUGUUUGGUAUCAGCCGCUCCAAGGAGACAAAUUGCUGAGAAAAGUAAAGAAUUCAGAUAAAAAGUGAAAUUGUUCAUUCAUAACCUUUAGGGAAAUACAGAUGGGUUCUUUAUACCCCAUUUCAGCUACUACAGACAAAAGGUUAGGUAACCCCAAGUGCUGAGUCACCAUAUUCUAAUAUUCCAUUACAAUGCAAAGGAAAUAACUUAAGGGAAUGAGCUAAAGCAUAUCAAGGUCCUAACACAAGUCAAUUUCAGUUAACUCAAAUCCCUAAAACCCAAUUUUCUCCAGAUCGUUGGAUUUAGUUUGCUGUUGUUGUUGCUAAUCUACAGGUAAAGCUUAAAUUUACAUACAAUUUUUUAUUUUUCUUGAUUGGAAUUUGGAAAGAAUUAGUUGUUCUUGGAAAGAAUUACAGAAAAUUGGAAAAGGGAAAUGGGAAAGCGAGGAAAUGCAAGAAAAUGUGUUUGGAAAAUGGAAAAUGACUUUUCUUUGGCAUUCGCUUUGACUUUCAUCCUUUCUGCGUUUGCUUUUCCUCAUUUUUUUUCUCAAGAACCAAACAUAAAAUAAAUAAAUAAACCUAUAAAAAAAAGAAAAGGAAAAUCACAAGAUUAAGAACCUGGGAAUGCAACAAUCGAGCUUCUGUGCCGAAAUAUCAAUUGGGUCCCGUUGGAUCUUCGGUGCUUCUUCUGCAUUCAAAAAGUUGGGGUAUUUCUGCAUCAUUUUUGUGUGUAUUUUUAAAUUCCAGAAGAAAGUGGAUAGAGAGAGAGGAAUAUGCUUUGGGUCGAAAUGGGAACACAAUUCCAAAUUCGCCCUCAAUCCCAAAGUUCAGUAAUUUAUGCAAUUUUUGUCGAAAUUGAUAUUCUUUAUUGCUGAUAUUUGUUAAAAAAGAGGGGGAUAAGAGCAGUAAAAAGAAUCUACAGAAAAUAUUUGUUUUGGAAGAGUAUGUCUUGAUUGGAUAAAACUCGCACCAGAGGGCGAGCGCAUCUGCUAGUAUGCAUUUAAACUUAUAAGGCUAAAUCCUUUAGGGGCGUUUGUUUGCCCUCCUUAACUCUCAUUGGACUGGACUAGAUUAAGGGUUAGUCCAAUCCCGUGUUUGGUACCCGCUAAAACUAACUUUAAUGAGACUAAAGGGGAUUCGCUCCGACUAUCUCCCUCGCUAGGAGGUCUUAGCGAGAGCGCCCUGUGACUAUGGGACUGCUAAGCCCUUCGGCUGGUAUGUCCUCAUCUCCUCUCAUCCACUCUUCUUUCUCUGUUUUCUUGAGCACCGACAGCCACCAUCACACCACCACUCCCAACUUCAGCGAGAUACACUGCUAGCCCAACACCACUCUCUCGAGAUCCAAGGAAAGCAAGCAUCAUUUGGCAAUUUUUGGUAGAAUUGCAGGGGAAGAAGAAACGAAAUGAAAAGGCUUGAAUUUGUUACAGGCCAUUGAUGGACAAGAUUUUUUUUUUGGGAAAUCGAUGAUCAGGGAUUUUUUUUUGGAGAAAUCUGGAGAUCAUGCAGCUUAUGGAACUCUCUAGAUAGAUUAAAACUCACAUAACCAAUAUGGGCAAUAAUUCAUACCUGAGAUAGAGUUUGAGAGAGCUUAAGCUCUCUGCGUUAAUGGCAGAGCGCCCGAUGGUGCAUCGAUGAUACGUACAACGCCGUAGGUGGAUUCCCCAUGUCCCAAGGGUUCGAGGUUUAGAUUUUUUAGGGUUGAUUUGGUCAGCAUCAAGAGAAAUGGUGGGGGUUCCUUCUCGGAGAUUAGAGAGAGAAAGGUUGUAGAUUAUUGUUGAGGAGAGAGAGAGAGAGAGAGAGAGAGAAAAGUGCAGAGAAAGAAAGAGAGAAUGAAAGAGGGGUCACGGGGUGAGGGACCGUAAGAGCAAGUCCACCCAUGCCAAUCGGCCGGGGGACGGGCUACAGCAAAGGGCCCGAGGGCCAGUCAAUUCAUCUCCAGCCAUGGAGGGCCCGAGUGAGGGUGGGAGCCCGAGGGCCGGGGGGGUGGGUAAUUGACAGGCCUGUGGCCCGAGGCCCGUGACGUCAGGCCUGGGUCCAGGCUAUUUUUUUAUAUUUUUUUUGUGUCAGGCGCGUGCCCCUCACUCGCGAGUGGGGGCGCGUCGCCCGACAAGAAAUCAGACAAGUGGGGUUUUCGGCCAGUUACCGUUGGGAAGCCACGUGGCUUCCCACGGUCCGUUCGAUCCCAACGGCUCUUUAAUACGAGCCGUCCGAUUUGCAACGGUAAUAAAAAAAAAACUGAUUUUAUAUCAACCGUUCGAUCUAAGAUCAACGGUUGAUAUUAAUCUGCUUUAUAAAUUAAAAAAAAAUAGUUUUAAAAUUAAGAAAAGUUACCGUUGUGACACGUGGCACAAUCUGGAGUGUUGGAAUUCAAAUUUUUUUAAAUCCAACGGUAGAAAUUAAUUAUUGGAAAAAAAAAUUUAAAAAAAAUGGAAAAAAUCCAAAAAAAUUGUAAAAAAUCUGAAAAAAAAAAUUGUAAAAAAUUGUUUUUACUUUUCUAUAAAUACCACUUCUUCUCUAUCUAUCUUACACCACAAUUUCAUAUUUUCUCAACUACUUUCAAUCAAAUUCCUAUCUUUCUCUCAAAGUUUCAAUCCAAUUUUUUUCCACAAAAUGGCUACUGAUGCAGGUUCGAAUUGGUCGCUUCUUGAAGAUGUUGCGUUGUGCACUAGCUGGGUUGAAGUUACUCAUAAUUCCGUUACGGGUAAUGAGAUGCAGUUGCGAGAAAUGUGGAGUUUAAUUCAUACCAAAUUUGUUGAGCAAAUUGGUGGGAAAAGAACCAAAGAAUCGAUAUCGAGUCGUUGGAAAAUACUUAGCCAUUCCUUUAGUACGUGGAGAGAUGCCUUGACACAAGCUAGUAAUAAUGUUCGAAGUUGGGCAAAUUAUGCGGAUGAGGUAAGAAUAUAUUAUAAUUAUUUGUUUGUAUUAUUAUUUUGUUACCUAAUUUGAUUAUAAUUAUUUGUUUGUUUCAUUUAUUUGUUACCUAAUUUCAUUAUUAUUAUUUGUUUGCAAUAUUUAUUUGUGACCUAAUUUCAUUAUUAUUAUUUGUUUGUAUUAUUUAUUUGUUACCCAAUAAUUUCAUUAUUAUUAUUUGUUUGUAUUAUUUAUUUGUUACCUAAUAUAAUUUCAUUAUUAUUAUUAUUUGUUUGUAUUAUUUAUUGUUACCCCAAUAAUUUCAUUAUUAUUAUUUGUUUGUAUUAUUUAUUUGUUACCUAAUAAUUUCAUUAUUAUUAUUUGUGGUAGAUUAUUUGUUAUAUAAUAUUUAUUUGUUAUUAUAAUUUCAUUAUUAUUAUUUCUUUCUAUUAUUCAUUUAUUAUUAUUAAUUUUUAUUAUAUUUAUUUUUCCUUACAUAAUUUCUUAAUUUAUUAUUUUGUUAUUUCUUUAUUAUUGUUAUUCCAUAUUAUUUCAUAAUUAAUUUCAUUCAUAUUAUUUAUCUUCCUAGAUAAAUUCAAUAUUUGUCUUUUGUAUAAAUUUCAAAGAGAAUUAUGUUGCAUGAAGUAUGGCCAUGCAUGUUAGUGUCCCAAAAUUCAAGCAAUGGCAUGUUGGAAGUCAUGCCAUUGAAAGCCCGUUACACCCAGGUUGCAUUGAACAGCACCCUCCCAGCACAUUUUGUACACAGCAACCCUCUCCACACUCUACACCCUGAUGGACCUGAUGAAGAAGAUGUAAAGAAGUGCCUGAAACACCCAUUCCUGAACAAGCGUCAAGCGUCGGGGUCGACCGUUUCAUUAAUUAGGCUCAAGGUAAGAAGGCUUCAAAGAGGAAAGGGAGUGCUUCCAUGAAUUAUUUACAUGAAUUUUGAUCAUUGGCUAUUUGACGUUGAAUAAUGACGGCGGGAUUUAUAGAGAUUUGAGCAAAAGAAUUGAGGCAGAAGAAGGCAAGAAUUGCAAAUUUUGAGCAAACAGAACAGAACACAAGAUUGCUACUUAGAACAGGGAAAGGCAAGAGCUACUUAGAGAAGAAACCUUAGAAGAAGAAAAAGAUGAACAAGAGAUCGUCAAUUUGAACACGCGUUUAGGAAGGUGAAUUGACGUUGGCACGGGAUUUGGCGAAAUAUGAGGCUGAAAAGGCUAGAGAAGAGGCAAAAGCUGCAGCUACUGAACAAACAUUUCAAGUUGAACAGAGGGAAAGAGAGCUACUUAGGCAAGAAAGGGAGUUGCUUAGAGAAGAAAGAAAUGCACAACGAGAUCGUGACAUUAUGAACACGCGUUUAGAAGGGAUGUCUCCAAAUUCUAAAUAUUUUUGGAAGUCGGAGAAAGCGGAUGUGGUGCGAAGGAGGCGUGUAAGAGAAGCGAGAUCAAGACAAGAUGGUCCUAGCACAACAAGACAAGAUGAUCCUAGCACCACAAAUUGGUUAAGUGAUGAUGAAUAGGGUACUUUUUGUAAUCGGACCCCAUAGUUUUCCGAUCACUUUGGGUUGUAAUUUAUUAUUUAUGUUGUUUCCAAUUUAUUGAAGUUAGUACUUUAUUUAACGUGAGAGUACAUUUAUUUAAUUUCGUAAUAUAUUUAAAAUUAAACUACAGUCAAUGACGUGUCCAGAUGCGUGUCCAUAGGCAAGACACGAGUACAGACGUGGCAAGAGACGAGGGUUGUACAACCAUGAGCUUGUGUCCGUGGCAAGGACAACAAAGGCUUGGGGCUUAGGAUGGCAGAGGAAAUACCACGGCAAGCUAGAGCCACCGACACAUCGUCGUUGCCGCCAAACUUACGUAAAAUCGUUAGCACAAAAAGCCGCCAAGGGUUUCCGCUCACUGGGAAAAAGAUAAGAUUUGUGAACGCCAAGACCACAUGGGUCACAACAUAGCAAAAUUGAAAUCUUUGUCAUCCUCAGCAUUAUCCGACCGCUAUCCACAAAUUGAAGCAACGAAUUGGGCAAGUGUGCAACAAAUUUCCAAUGUGCUUCUAUUGUGAAUGAUUUACAGGGAUUGGGUUGAAUGAGGUUUGUAGUUAAAGUGGGAUGCAAUUUAGAACACCAACGUUUGAUUAUGUUUCUCUCAUUUUUUUCUGUUCACUUUUGCCUCAUUUGUUUUUUUUGUUGCAUCGUCUCAAAAACCUUGUGCGUCUACAUGUACAUGUAUAAGUAUAAAUUUUGGUUAAAACAAAAAGUCACAUAUUUCAUAAUUAACUAUUUAAAUUUGUUGCAAAUCACAGUAUAUCUUUGUUCAUACAUUCAAACAAGCAUGACAAAUACUGAGGAAGAAAAUGAAAAUUAUUGUCACUACAAUUGUAUAUAUUUUUUUCUUUUUGAACAAACGAUAUUAUCUACACUAAGGGGGUGAGGGAGUGGCCUAAGCCUAACAAUGAGCUAGCAAUAAUAUAGUUCAAUUUGCCUUUGAUGAGAAUCGAACAUAAGACAUUUCACUUACAAGUGAAGAGAAAUAUCCUAGACCCUAACUGGAUAUGUUAUUGUCAUGGUCAUGCAUUGGUAUAGUAACAAUAUGUUUGGAUAAGGACAAUAAACUUAUAAUUUUGCCAAAAGUCAGAAUUUUUAAAUUGACACAAUCAAUUCCUUUGUUUGGAUUCAUAAAUAUAGAAAUUUAGACUUUCCGCGUGAGAAAAAACUUGGAAUUUGGUACCUUCAAUUCUCAUGUUUAAAUUUCAUGUAAAUAUGUGUCAUUUAUAAAUUUCAGUAAGUGAGAGUUUAAAAAUAACAAACAUGUAUUCAAAUUUCAUUCAUCCUUUAGGUUAACCAAACAAGAAAAUUUAUAAAUUCUAGAAAAUAAAAUUUCGUUAUUUCAUUUCUGUUAUUUUAAAAUUUUUAGGGCAUGUUUGGUACUCUACUUGAAUCUAACUUUUUAAACUCAAAAACAAUUUUCAAGUUUUAGGCCUUAAAAACUUGUUUGGUAGAACUAUUUUAAAAAACUGAACUUAAAACUAACUAAAAAAUAUAAUCUAUUAUCUAAAAACACAAAAAAUGAGUUUUUAGAAUUUGUAAACUUAAACUCACUCCUUUCUUUUCUCUCCCUGCUCCCCUCUCACUCCAAAUCUCUCUCUCUCUUUUCUUCUUUCUCUCUCCCCCUUCUUUUUUUUUAACCUUUUUUUGUCUCUCAUCCAAUCCGCUCUCUUUAUUCUCUCGGUUCUUUCUCUCACUCCUCUUCCUCUCUAUCUCCUCCGAUUCUCUCUCUUCAUUCUUUUUCAACCAAUCAUUUCUUAUUUUCUUUCCUCCCCUCUCCUCUUUCUCCCUCGACCACCUCUUUUUGGAUCUCCUUGUUCAGUUUGAGCUAUAAGAUUUAAAAAUUUUAAAUCGCAUAUCAAACAAGUUUUUGAGUUUUAAAGAAAAUUGUUUUCAAGAAAUAUUUUGAGAAAUGAUAAAAAAUUUCAAAUAUGAUACCAAACAAGCCCUUAAUAAUCUUAAAUUUUCUCGUCCAAACAAAAAGUUUUCUUGUCAUAGAACUUUCAAUUGAAAUCAAGGAAGAUAAUCUUUUCACAACUAAUUAUUCUCACCAAAAGCAAUUUUUAUUUUAUAGCAGAUCAAUACCAAAUUGCAAAAGCAAAGUAGUAAGGCUAAAAUUCAGGUGAAGAACCUGCUUCCACUAAUUUCCUUAGGAGGGAGAGAGAGAGAGAGGGGAGAGAGAACCAAGCGACCGAGCAGAGAGAGAAAACACCAAGUAGUAUUCUAAUGUUGGUGGGGUUAAGUCACCUUCCGUGAAGUUGCAGUAAGGACUUCUAUCCCAAAGAAAAGUCAGUAAAUGAUGUUGACAUCCGUCAACGACAAGGACAGAAUUGUGUAACCAUAAUUCUCUCUCUAUCUCUUUUUUCAUUAACGGAGGACAGUGUAUAAUUACUACGUAUAUAUCUCUGCUCAAUUAUUGAAAAGAAAAAUCCAUGUGCAUUAUUUUUAUUAUUAUUAUCUCAGAAAUGCAGAAAUUGAUCAUCUCUUCCUUCUGCAUAUUGAUACUGGUUUUCUUCAAACUAGUUGAAGCAAGGCAAUAUGUGUGCGCGAAAUCCAACUGUAGCAAUGAUCAAGGCCCGGCUAUCUAUUUCCCAUUGAACACCAGGCACACACAUCAUUGUGGAAAUUCUGGGCUUGAAUGCAAUGGGAGAAAUGAGCAGCAAAUACUAAUAAAAUUAUUUGUCAAACACAUAGAUUACAAGCGUCAGGAAAUCCAAGUCUAUUCCCCAAGUAACUGCCUGCUGCUAAAGCCUGUUGAAAUCCCAAACAUGCCACCCUCUCCCUUCAUCGUGUCAGUCGGUUACCUGACGAACGUUACCUUAUUCAGUUGUCCUACUUCUGUUGCAAGUGAUCCAUAUUAUCCGUAUCAAGUCCCCUGCCUCGGCGACCGUGGCAAGAGAACUUAUGCCAUUGAUUCUGACUCUGGUUUUAGAACUCUUUUCCGGAAUCUACAAUCUUGUACAAAAAUGUAUGAUGUUUUAUCAGUUCCACUAACCUAUGAAGAUUAUGUACAUCGUUUCAAAUGGUCUAUACCAAAUUGCAGAAAAUGUGGAGAGGGAAAGAAGUGUGGAUGGCAGAACAAUGAAAUUAAAUGUAUUCAAUGGAGGAAACCAAGUAAGGAUAACAUAUGUAUUCAUUGCUAGUUUUAAACAUCUUUACAUUUAUGUCUCAGUAAUUAUUAUUUAAAACAUGUUGUCCAAUCCAUUUUUACUAUGAAUAUUAACUGACAGUCUCAUUUGAAUUUGCCUUUAUCUUUUACAGGCAACACAUGGAAAUUAGUGGUUACAGGUGGAAUCCUGGGUUCUUUGCUUCUUGUUCUACUGAUGAUUGCAGCAUAUCGGGUAUAUAGCGCUGAUAGAAAGGAAAAAGAGAGUCGAUUGCGAAUCGAAAGAUUCUUGGAGGAUUACAAAGCACUCAAACCAAGCAGGUAUUCGUACGCAGAUAUUAAGAGGAUUACAAAUCAAUUCAAGGACAAGUUGGGCGAAGGAGCCUAUGGAACUGUCUUUAAAGGAAUGCUCUCUUCUGAAUUCUUUAUUGCUGUCAAAGUCCUCAACAGUUCUAAGGGAGAUGGGGAAGAGUUCGUAAAUGAAGUGCGAACGAUGGGUCAUAUCCACCACGUCAACGUGGCUCGCUUGGUUGGAUUUUGUGCUGAUGGAUUUGUAAGAGCUCUUGUUUACGAGUUCUUCCCCAAUGGUUCCCUGCAGGAUUUCAUUUCAUCCGCAGAUAGUAAGAAUUCCUUUCUUGGUUGGGAUAAGCUGCAGGAUAUUGCCCUAGGCAUAGCCAAAGGAAUUGAAUAUCUUCACCAAGGAUGCGAUCUACGAAUCCUGCAUUUCGAUAUCAAACCCCAUAAUGUUUUGCUAGACCAAAACUUCACUCCAAAAAUUUCUGAUUUUGGUUUGGCCAAGUUAUGUUCCAAGGAUCAAAGCUUGGUGUCCAUGACUACAGCUAGGGGGACCAUGGGCUACAUUGCACCCGAAGUGUUCUCCAGGAAUUUUGGAAAUGUGUCUUACAAGGCAGAUGUCUAUAGCUUUGGAAUGCUGCUGCUUGAGAUGGUAGGAGGAAGGAAGAAUAUUGGUUCAAUCACGGAUAACACUACAAAUGAAAUUUACUAUCCACAGUGGAUUUAUAAUCUUCUAGAGGAAGGGGAUGACCUACGAAUCCAUAUUGGGGAAGAAGGAGAUGGUAAAAUUCCAAAGAAACUUGCAAUUAUAGGGCUAUGGUGUAUCCAGUGGCAC